CACAAAUGAAGAAAAGAGCACAAAUGACGUUGGCAAACCUGAAACUUUCCCAUUGGGCAAUAAACAUUACUCCAGUCAAAAACAUUAUGGAAGAGGCAAACCUGAAACUUUCCCAUUGGGCAAUAAACAUUACUCCAGUCAAAGACAUUAUGGAAGAGGCAAACCUGAAACUUUCCCAUUGGGCAAUAAACAUUACUCCAGUCAAAGACAUUAUGGAAGAGGCAAACCUGAAACUUUCCCAUUGGGCAAUAAACAUUACUCCAGUCAAAAACAUUAUGGAAGAGGCAAACCUGAAACUUUCCCAUUGGGCAAUCAGCAUUACUCCAGUCAAAAAAAGUAUGGAAGAGGUGCUUCUCCAUCCGACAAUCAACCACCAAUUCCAUAGAAAUUCAAACACGGCUACUUUCUUGCCACGAGAAAGCGCUCAAUCGAUCCCCUUCUCCUCUAACAAACUACCAGAAAUUUUCAACCAUUUUUCAGUGAAGCCAACAUCUGAGGAAGCCAAAACAAUUAAGCAAACAAUCGAAGAGUGUGAAGCUCCAGACCUUAAGGGAGAGGAAAUAUAUUGCGCCACAUCUUUAGAAUCAAUGGUUGAUUUUAGCACUUCGAAGCUUGGAACAAGAAACGUUGAAGCAAUCUCGACGGAGGUAUUGGAAAAAGGAGCCACCAUGUCCAUCCAAAACUAUACAACAAUGCCGGGACUGAAGAAGUUGGCAGGUGACAAAGUCGUUGUGUGUCAUAAGCAGAACUAUCCCUAUGCUGUGUUUUUCUGCCAUGCAAUAAAACAUACAGCAGCUUAUGCUCUCUCCCUGAAAGGCGAUGAUGGGGAGAAGGUUAAAGCAGUAACCAUCUGCCAUCUAGACACAUCAGAAUGGGACCCAGAGCAUAUGUCCUUCAAAAUCGUCAACGUUAAGCCCGGAACCAUUCCCAUCUGCCAUUUCAUUUCCACUGAUGCUAUUGCCUGGGUUCCGAACCACAAAUCUGCAUGAUCAUCACUUAGCACUAGUACUGUGCGUAUAAUAUGCCUGUAUAAUUAUCUCCCUACUUAUUUCUGCCUGUUCAUCAUGUGGUGUAAGAUAUAUGUUGAGAUGAAGUUUUUGGGAUUAGUGGUCGAAAUUAACCCGAUCAUGUUUUCUCUUGUAACUAUAUAGACUUCAACUUGUACUCAUAAUAAAGCAUGCUAUAUUUAUGAAGAGAUAUUAAUCUUCAGGCAAAUAGAUAUUAUGAAAACAUAUAUAGCAAUUUAUCCAGAAGAAAUAUUAUGAAAUGAAAAGAAUAAAAAGUAAAAAAACAGAAGGAAAGGAAUUCGCACCUGCUAUGUAUGAAAGGACCAAGAUUGUUUUCCCUUUGGUUAAUGACUAGAAAAGCUCACUUGCAGAUUGCUUUCUCUGACCGUAGAUGCAACAGAAAUUUUCUCUUAAUAAUAGCACAAUGAUCGGGUAAUUGUAAGAACAAGUUGAUUUAAAAUUCCUUGACCCAAAAAAAAAAAAAAAAUCAUUUCAAAUUCAGGUCAACCCAUAGAUUUCUUGCCUUUUUCUUCUUCAUCACGUUGGGCUUGUCUUCUUCUUGAGGAUUGUAUAGGCCCAGGAAAUGCUUUGAGGUAGUUUUUGGCCUUGGAAGUUGGGACCCAACCCAACUUCACAAAAAGAAAACAGAUUUGCCAAAAAUCAAAUUUCAAGUCUCUCCUCAGAUCACUAAUACAGAUCAAAUUUUGGAUUUGAUGAACUAAAGUGGUUUUACUUUCUCUGUCAGUGUUUGAUGACUUAAUUUGUUAUUUACUUCUUUUUUUUUUUUUACUUGAUCUUUGUAGGGGUUUUUUUCUUCCGGUAACUUAAACGGGCUGGGCUGCCGUAAAGGGUAGAUUGAUGAAAUUGUCUCCUUUGUCUGAGUUCGAAAAUCAAGCCCCAAAAGCGCUUCGAAAGGGCAGUAGAGCCUUAGGAAGCGUUCUAGUCAUCUUCACCAACUAAAACAACAGCAACUUACAGAUGAUUUCUUAAGGCUUACAGAUAAAUUUUCUAGCUUGGCAUGAGAGGCUUGUGACAUGGAAGCAAAAUCAGCAUGAGUUUAGCACCAAAGAGGAAAAUAUGGCUUCCUAGGGAGAAAUGGGAGUGUUUAAGGUGAGGAAGAAGAGGUUUGCAGGCUGAUUUGGCUGAGGAGAGAGAAAGAAAGAACAAUGUUCUUCCAGUAGCUUGACAAAGCUUCUGACAGAUGUGAAAGUCGUCUGCCAUAAGAGGAAAAUGAAGAAGAAUGGUGAAUAGUGCAUGAAAUUGCUGGGUUUUUGCAGGUAAGAGAGAAAGCUUGCUCUCUGAAUUUGAGUUGGUUUUUGGUUGGGUAGAAGAGGCCCCCUUUUAUAGCUGCGGGAAACCAUCUUUUUUCAAGAAACCCUAAUGGUUUCUAUCCAUUUUGGCCAAGCUUUUCCCUUCAUUUCUCUUCUCCUCCCUUGACUUUUCCUAUCUUGGUGAAAUUUCCUCUGCCUAUUUGCACAAAAUUAGAGAUUUUGAGGAGCUCAAGACCCCUUUCCCGCAGCUGCCUCAGUGGAGAAUCCCCAUUUUCAGUCAUCUUUCUUCCUUCUUUUCUCCCAUCUUCCAAGGUUAGGUCUGAUGAGGGAAAGAAAUGGGUAUGCACACUGGUUUGAAGGGUAUUUUUGCUUGAAACUUGUUCUCUCCCAUGUGCUGGAGCUUCCCAGCAACUUACACACAUGGAUAUUUUGGCUUUCAUCGUGGCUUUUGUUUUCAGCUAGGUGCUGGAGAUUUCGCAGAUAUUUUCAUGAGUUGCUUGGGCCUUCUAGGACAAUAGGUUGGUUUAUCAAGUGAAUGGGCUAACUUCAUCAAUUGUUGGGCUAUUUUGGUUGAGUUAAUGGACUAUUUUGGUUGAAGUAAUGGGCUAUUUUGGUUGAAUUAAUGGGCUAUUUUUCUCUCUUUGUGCUCACCCACAUAUUUGGGCCUAAGAAAUGGGCUUGAGUUCCGGGGCUCCCAAGCAACCCCGGGACUUCCAUUUCUCGGCCCAUCAAUGGGCCUCAUAUCAACUUAUUACCAUCCAUAUCACAACCCACUCAAGCAAGCCCUGGGCAUCUUGCGUGGCUUGGGCCCACUUAAGCUUGUAGCGUGACGUGUUGCUUAUUUGCUUGGCAUGGCAUGUGUGCAAGCGCAUAUGACGAACUUUAGCGUGCCCAAAUUGGGUUUAUUCUCGGUAAGGUAUCGCAUUGGGCCGAGAAUUUAAUUGGGCAGAACUGUGGAUUUUUGGGCCUCAACAAUCUUAUAUAUAUUGGUUUUCUUUUUUUCCUUAAUAUUCACCACCUUUCUGUUGCAUAAGUAUUUCAGUCUUAACGGGUUUCCAUCUACCACUCAUCUUUGCUCUUUUAAGUGUAAGCUUUUUUUUUUUUUUUUUAAGCACAAGAUUAGAGGGGAGGGGGAUUUCUCAAUGUAAGCUUUGCAGUUUCAUAAUUAAUAUUUCCAAUAUCUCACUGUUAGUAAAAUAUGGAACAGGAAAAGUAUGAAUAAAAUACACACAUGUUUUAUUUAGCAAAAUUUUGACAAGAUACAACUGAAAAGUUUGGCCACUAUAUAAUAUUUUGAUAUAAUUUCUACACUUCUUCUCAAAAGAUUAGAUCACUUCACAUCUUGUGUAUGUGAAAACUAAUGUAAAAAGUUGAAACUUUAUCGUAAAACCUCGACAAAAAUGAGCUCUACUAGAAAAUGUUCAAUUUGGAUUCGUUGAUUUAAAUGGCAAUUUGACACUUGAUAGAAAUUUUUACAUACAUGUGUUAGUGUUUGAUCACUUCACAUGUUACUUACUAUAUUUAUUCCACUCAAGUUAGGUAAAUAUUAUUAUCAAACAUUUCAAUUAAUUUGUGAUUUUUUUAUUAUUUAAUCAAUUAUGAAUUAAUGGAUUCUUCUUGUUGUUUUGAAGACCAAUAAAAAAAAAAGGGUAAGGAUGGCUUAUAACUCUGAUAAAACAACAGUGACGUGGACAGCAGAUGUUACACCGUACUGAAGAUUUUUGAAGAUUCUUUAUUUGGGUUUCUUUCAAGAUGAAAACCAUAUUAUCCACAACCACAAUGAAGAAGACAGAAAAUGGAGUAAUUCAGAUGUUACCAGCCAUCCACGACAAACUGAAGUCUGCAAAGCAUUCGUAAUCUAAAGGGAGACUUUGGAAAAGCCCAAAGGAGAGAGAAAAUUUUUAAAAGAAGCAAAAAUGGACAAAAUUGCCCUUAUUUAUUUUUUGAUUUCCUAAGAAAUCCUUUACAUUUGCAUGUCUUUGGUUUGAAAGUUGAGAGGUUAUUCUGUCUUUUUUCAAAAAGCUUUGGCUUUUUCCAAAAGUGAAAGUUUUUUUAUGGGUAAAACCUAAAUUUACUUAAUCCCUAAAAAGGAUGGGGAGGCUGCGCAAUACUUAGCCACGUGUAGGCCAGGAGGCUUUCCAAUUUUAAUAUAUAUAUAAAUUGAAAAAAUAAAAUAAAAAUCAAUCUAUUAUCCUAUAUAAAAUAAAGAUUAUUGCUUCCAUGGGCAGUGCUAUGCACAGGACAGUGCCUGCCCAGCACAAAUUUUUUUUAAAUAAAAAAAAAAAAUCUACAUAUGUUAUAAGCUCAUCCAAAAAAAUAAAAUAAAAUAAAAGUAAAUUCUACAUAUAUGUUGCCCAUCUAGGUGGUUCCAUAUCUUCUCUCUCCUUCUCUUUUGGCUAUUAGACUUCUUGUUUCUCUCUCUCUCUUUGCUACCUCACAUCAGCAAGUUUCUCCCUCUCUUUUUUUGGGGUCAAAUUCUUCCUCUAUUGACAAAAUCUUCUAUUAUCUUGGGUGGGCAACUUGGCAACAACAUCUUCUCUUCUCCUUUUGUCAACAACAAGUAUUAUUCUCAUUCUCUCAUUUGCUAUAUAUCUUUAAUUAUAGUUUUAAUUUAAAAUUGAGUAUUCUAGGGUUUAAUUAGGGAUGAAUUAUAAUUUUAGAAUUUUGUUGAAAUUAAUUAAGGCUUCGAUUAGGGGUGAAUUAUUCUACUGCUUUGGUUUGGAAUUUUGUUAAAAUUGAGUAUUAUAGGGUUUAAUUAUGGAUGAAUUAUAAUUUUUGAUUUUGGUAUUAUUGAGAUGUUAUUAUGAGAAUUUGUUUCAUUUUUUUAUUGGUAUAUUUGAUUAAAAUUCUUUCUACAUAUUAUUCAUAGGCUAUCUUUUAUUAUGUCGGAUCACAAUCGGAAUCCCAAGAGAACAAAGAAUUUGAAUAGUGUUGUUUUGUAUUGCAUUGCAUUUACUUUUGGUUUUAGUUUUGCUUUUAGUGUAAAUUACUCAAAUGGUCCUCAAAUUUGUACCCGAUUUACAUUUUGGUCCAUAAACUAAAUUAUUCAUUCAAAUGGUGCACCAACUCUUUAUUAAUCAGUGCUUUGGUCCUACCGUUAUGUUUUCUAUUAAAUUUAGUCAUGUGAGCAGCACAUGCUACAUUUGUAGGGGUAAAUAAGACUUUUGACCACUUUAUCACCUAUGUAUCACCACUUUAUAACCUAUUUGGAGAACAUAGGUCAGUUAUGGACGGUUUUACAAUUAUAUUUGACGGCAACAUUAACAUAAUGUAACAGUGGGAUCAAUGGAGCGAUUAAUAUAGAGUUGAUGGACCGUUUGAACGAAUAAUUUAAUUGAGGGACCAAAACGUAAAUUGAGUAUAAGUUUGAGGACCAUUUGAGUAAUGUACCCUUCGCUUUUAUAUUUGUUGAACUUUUAUUUAUGGAUAGAUAUGCAUUUGAGGGUAAGACCCAUUAUGUUCCCCCUGACUUGGUGUAUCUUUUUAUGUUUAUUAAUGAAAUUCACUCGAACUGUUGAGUUUAGUAUGUAAGUUUUGCCUAACCGGCUUUUGAAUCCUAGAACCGCCACUGUUGCUCCAUCCUCCAUGCACUUGCAUGUGCUCUUACAAAGUGUGAAGUAGAUUUUGUGUGCUCCAAGUCAUUGACUAGAGCUGAAACAUGGUUAGCUAGAUUUAUAAGGACCCAUCUCUCUAUUUCCUAGACAUAUACCCAUCUCUCUAUAAAUCUAUAUGUAAAACUCAAUUUCAAACUUAAAUGACCAGUAAGAUAUAAGAGGUCAUAGUAUUCCUAUGUUUUUACAUCGUUGCCACCAGACUUCUUAUUUUAUUUAUAAUUUAUUUCAAGCAUUUCAUUAACUGCCAUAAUUGUAAUUAAUACUCCAUAUUAAUAGCAUAUCAAUCACCCCAUUUCUUUUGAUUGCCAUUCCCUCUAACAUAUCGCCCCUUAAAAUUGAAAACCAAAAAAAAAAAAAAUGUAAAUUACAUAUCCAAUAAUGUACCUAUGAAAAAUAUAAAUAUAAAUAUAUACGUAUAAAAAUAUAGGUUUAUUAUUUACCAAAUAAAAAAUAUAAAAAAACUAGGUCAGUUGCUUUGUAAUUGAAAUUUCUAUACAUUUUCCACAAAUUAAAAAUAGGUACACAAUAAUUUAUAGAAAAUAUAGGUGCAUUAUUUAUCCAUAGGUAAAAAUACCUAUAAAUGCACAUAGGUAAAUUAUUUACCCAUAUAUUAUUUUUUUGCUAAGGAUUUACCUUAGUUUUUAGUAGAUUAAUUUACCUACCUAGAGGCAUAGGUAGCUUAAAAAAAUUGUAGCACCUUAGUUGGUUGCAUACUAAUUUACCUACCUAGAGGCAUAGGUUGCUAAGAAAAAAUGUAGGUAAAUUCAUGUACCUAAACACAUAGGGGUCAAAUAGAGAAUAACAUGUUAUUUCCCUUCGAACAAAUUAAUUUCAAACCAUAACAAUAAUUGAAUUCGGAAAUUGGUAUAAAUAAAAGGAAAUAAAUAAGCUAUCAAUUUGAAAAUUAAAAUAAGAAAUGAUCAAGUAGUCAUAUUUGAAAAAAAAGAAAAGAAUAUAUUCUUGGUUUUUAUAGGAACAACGUGUAUAUUCAAACCAAAUGGCAGUAACUACACCAAGCUUUAAUUACUUUUUUUUAAGGCCAAAAGUCACUUUUGGUCUCUGUAGUUUGACACUUCUAUUACUUUUGACGCUGUAGUUUCAAUUCCGUCAAUUUUGCCAUUGUAGUUUCAUAUUUGUAGCAAUUCAAGGACAUGUUAAUAUUAAUGUCAAUUUGUUUAAUGAUGCAAGGGGUAAUUUCGUCAUCCCAAAAUCCUUGAGCAUAAAAGCUUGUCUGAAAUUCUCCCCAUUUCAUAUUAGGGCUCGAAAUUCAACCACUAAUCCCAAUUUUUGAAGAACCCUAUACCCAAAUGACCAAUUUCAAGCCCUAAUAACAAAUUAGGGAAGUUUUAGAUGAGCUUUUAUGCUCAAGGAUUUUGAGUUGAAGAAAUUGCCCCUUGCACUGUCAAAGAAAUUGAUAGGAAUACUGACUUGUCCUUGAAUUGCUACAAAUACAAAAAUACAGGGUCAAAAUUAACAGAAUUUAAACUAUAUGGUCAAAAGUGGUUAAAGUGCCAAACUACAAGGACCAAAAGUGACUUUUAGCCUUUUUGUUUAAAUAAGGAAAAAACUUACCUAUUAAAUCCUUGGAAUCUAUACAAAAUUGAAACACAGUUAAUCAGCAUUGAAUUGCAGCUAAUUUCUUAAACAAGGGUAUUAUAGGAAUUUAAAAAGUAUAACAUUUAAUCCAUUGAGCUUGAUUAGGAAUCUUGAUGAGUUGGAUCCUAGUUAUAUAGUUUCUCUUAUAAAAAUCGGGUUUUAUUUAUAGACAAAUAAAACAAUGGGUUGUAGGUAAGAAAAUAUUAAUUUGAAGGGAAAGUGUCACAUCCUGGGAUCGGCUCCGCCGUAGCACGAUAUUGUCCGCUUUGGGCCCCCCUCUCUGCCCGCACGGUUUUGUUUCUGGGAGCUCACGAGCAACUUCCCAGUGGGUCACCCAUCCUGGGAUUGCUCUGGCCCCCAACUCGCUUAACUUCGGAAUUCCUAUGACUCCGAAGCCAGUGAGCUCCCAAAAGGCCUCGUGCUAGAUGGAUGCGGGUGUGUACAUAUAAGACACAUCACCCCCUCUCCGUUGGUUGAUGUGGGAUCUUACAGAAAGAGUCAAAUUUACUAAAUUAAUAAAGCAUAAAUUGGAAAGGGAAAAGAUCUAGAGGAUGCAUUGUAGGAUUGCUCAUGCCAAUAAUUGCACCCUCUCGAUAUUGAAAAACCUAUUGUGUAUUAUUAUCUUCAAUCAUGAAUGAUGCACCUAAAACCCAAGUGUCCCAAGCCAACCAUUGCGCUCAUACCACUUGUUGCAGUACACAUUCACCCGUUUUUAAAGAAAGAAAUUCUACCAAUCGAUAUUGUCUCAAAUUUAAUCACAUAGGUCUAUUAUGGUUAACCAUAUGUACUUUUAUCGGCCAUAUAGAGGUACCUUUUUCCAACGUGCAACAAUUGUAUUUGAUUCACAAUUAUGUCUGAUAUACAUCACAUCAUGCCACUUGCCUCAAAUGAAUUUAAUUGAGUGAGGCAAUGGGAAGUAAUUAAGCUCUAUAUUGGUGGGUGGAGUGUUACUUCUGGAACCCUCAUCAUUCGUCCAUACAAGGGAACAAUUCCCUUCCUUCUAUAAAAUGGUGAAGCCAGUUGCUAUUGUUUGUUAGAGUUUUAGGAUCUGAGUGUUAGAUUUUGUGAGAAGAGAGAAGAGAAUUUAGUGAAAACUUCCAAUACUGCUCUGCUAUACGUGUAGCAGAGAGAACAUUCUGUUUUGUUAUAUAUUUUCAGUACAACAACACACACUUGGUGUGAGAAGAAAAAUGACUGUUAUGCACAGUACCAGCUGGAUGCUUUCCAUCAAAGUAAUCUCAGCCAUUCACUAUCUAACCAAUCAAGCUAUGACACCUGGACUAAGUAUAAAGAAAUACAACUAAGCAGAAAACAAGACUCUUAAUCCUGAAAUCAACUUAAGCACUUAUAAUUCAACACUCCCCUUUAAGUCUUGAGGUGAUUUCACUCCAAGCAUGCCUCUGAGAUAAUUGAAUCUGUCUUUGGCCAGAGGUUUGGUAAAAAUGUCAGCCAAUUGUUCAUUUGUAGGACAAUAUUCCAGAUUGAUUACCCCUUCUUGCAAUGCAUCCUUGAUGAAGUGAUACCUCCUGUCAAUAUGCUUUGUCUUCUGGUGGAAUACAGGGUUUUUAGUGAUUGCAAUUGCUGAGAUAUUAUCACAAUGCAAUGGAGUAGCUUCAGUUUGAAGCUCUCUAAAGUCUUCUAGCACAAAACGGAGCCAAAUAGCUUGAGUAGUAGCCUCAGCUGCACUGAUGUACUCAGCUUCUGCAGUAGACAGUGCAACACAGUUCUGUUUCACUGAGGCCCAAGAAAAUACUCCACUUCCAAAACUAAACGCAUACCCUGAUGUGCUCUUGCAAUCACCAACUGAUCCUCCCCAAUCACUGUCACAGUAACCAACUAGAAUUGAUCUUUUGCCUUUCACAUAUUCAAGACCAUAGUCCAGAGUUCCUUUGAUGUAUCUCAAAACCCUUUUAGCUGUUCCAUAGUGUCUAUUUGUAGGACAGUGCAUGAAUCUAGCUAGCAAGCUUGAGGCAUACAUGAUGUCUGGUCUUGUAGCAGUUAAGUACAGCAAGCUACCAACAAUGCUUCUGUAUUGUUCUUCAUUUGCAGCUCAACUCCCAUCAUCCUUAGCUAGUUUCUCAGUGGCAACAAGGGGUGUUGUCACAGGUUUGCACUCAGUCAAACCAAACUUGCUCAACAAGGUGCUAGCAUAUUUCUUUUGAUGUAGAAAUAUACUAGACUCAGUCUGAAUAACUCCCAUGCCAAGAAAGUGAUGAAGUAAGCCCAAAUCAGUCAUCUCAUACUUAGCCAUCAUGUCUUCUUUGAAUUCAGCCAACAAUGCUUGACUGCUCCCUGUAUACACAAUAUCGUCUACAUAGAUAGACACAAUUAGAAUCUCCUUAUCUCCCCUUACUUUGGUAUAUAAGGUUGUUUCACUUAAGCUUUUCACAAAACCACAUUGAGUGAAGUAGCUGUCUAUCUCUCCAUACCAAGCCCUUGGGGCUUGCUUCAGACCAUAAAGGGCUUUAUGCAAACGAUAAACCUUGUCUUCUUUACCUUUAAUUACAAAACCUUCAGGCUGACUGACAUAAACUUCCUCUUGCAGCACACCAUUAAGGAAAGCAGACUUCACAUCAAGCUGGAACAAUUUCCAAUCCUUUUGAGCAGCUAGAGCAAUAAGUGUUCUAAUGGUGUCCAAUCUGGCUAUAGGUGCAUAAGUCUCAUUAUAAUCCAGUCCAGGCUUCUGAGCAUACCCCUUAGCCACUAAUCUUGCUUUAUUCUUUUGCACUGAGCCAUCCAAAUUCAGCUUUGUCUUGUACACCCACUUAACUCCAAUCACUGGUUUUUCAGUUAGUCUAUCUACCAAUUCCCAUGUUUCAUUCUUUUCAAUCAUCUGCAGUUCAUCUUCCAUAGCCUUAAGCCAAGAUUCAUCCUGAGCAACAUCAGCAUAUUUUUCUGGUUCCAUGAUACACAAGUUACACUGAGCUAGAACAUCAUCUAGCCUUCUCCAUUUUAGAGGGGUGUGAUCAUAAGCUUGAGUUCUCCUUUCUUCACUGCUUAUAUCACCUGGAGUUGAUGAAAUGCUCUCUUGCAUAUCCAAAGUUUGAGGUGUACCAGUAGAAUUCUCAUUAGAACUGUCAGAUUUCAAGUCCAAAUCAACUUGGUUUUCAAUUGAGUAUGUUGUCAUAACUGAACCAUUUUUGUUUGUCCAAUGCCAAGCAUUUUCUUCAUCAAAUGUCACAUCCCUUGAUAGUAAAAGCUUGUUAGAAACAGGAUCAAAAACUCUAUAUCCUUUUUCACAAGUUGCAUAUCCCACAAACACUCCCUUUGUACUCUUAGGAUCCCGCUUGUGUCUCAAUUCAGUUGGCACAUGAACAUAACACAGAGAACCAAACACUUUCAGAUGUGCAAUUCCAGGCUUCCUUCCACUAUAUGCUUCGAAUGGAGUAAUGUUGUUGAGAGCUUUGGUAGGACAUCUGUUCAGCAAAUAGAUAGCUGUAUGCACAGCUUCUGCCCAUAGGAAAUAAGGCAUUCCCUUCUCAUGUAACAUUGAUUUUGCCAUCUCAAUGACAGUUCUAUUCUUCCUCUCAACUACUCCAUUCUGCUGAGGAGUAUAGGCCAUUGUAAGCUGCCUUUGAAUGCCAUUAGCUUCACAAAACUCCAAAAAAUCAGUAGACAUAAACUCUCCACCCCUGUCACUUCUUAUGCACUGAACCUUGUGUCCAGUUUGUAAUUCAGUCAUGGACUUGAACUUCUUGAAACAAAAGAAGGCUUUUGACUUGUUUCUCAAGAAGUAUACCCAAAUCAUUCUUGUGAAAUCAUCUAUAAUCAGCAUGAAAUAUCUGUUCCUUGCAACAGACUCAUUUCUCAUGGGACCACAGAGAUCCACAUGUAUUAGCACUAGUACUUUGCUUGCUCUUUGAGCUUGAUCUUUUGGAAAAACAUUUCUGUGCUGUUUUCCAAAUUGGCACCCGUCACACACACCACUUUGUUCUUCCAAUUUUGGUAAACCAUGUACCAUUUCUUUAUCACUUAGCUGCUUCAAUCCUCCAAAAUGCAGAUGACCAAAUCUCUUGUGCCAAAUCCAUGUGGAUUGAAGAAAACUAGUCUUCAUUAGUAACUGUUUUUCAGCUAGAAAAGAGACAGGAUAGCAUCUGUUACUCUUCAUUUGCACCUUUAUGAUGAGAUAAUCCAUGGAUGGGCUAUCAAAUACCCUGCACAUCCCUUCUCCAAACACUAGACAGUACCCAUGUUCAUCCAUCUGCCCAACACUUAGCAGAUUUUCUUUCAAUCCUGGCAGAUACAUUACUUCUCUGAUGUAUUUCCUGCCCUUUGCUGUAUCAAUACUCAGUGAGCCAAUACCAGCUACACUCACUAAUGCACCAGUUGGCAUUUGUACUCUCCCAGCUACAUUAGUUCUCACAUCAACCAGCAAAUCUAAAUUUCCUGUCAUAUGAUUGCUGCAGCCACUGUCAAUGUACCAUUCAUUGGUUUUGAUCUCAGUGGUUGAGCAAUUGGCAUAAAACAGGUUUCCUGUAACCUCCAUUUGAUUUACACAAUUAGCCUUCUGCACAUUUUUGCUCACUGUACAGUCUCUAGCAAGAUGUCCAACUCUGUCACAGUUAUAGCAUUUUGGUUUUCCCUUAUACCUGCACUCACCAAAAUGAUGCUUUGAACACACCUUGCAUUGAGGCUUUGUGUUUUCCUGAUUUGAGAACUGUGUUGAAGUGUGGUUCUGUGCAGAAUAAUUAUUCUGCUGUGUCUUGUCUUUUGCCUCCCAUGACUUCCCUUUAGAGUUCCAGCUUCUCUGUGACUUAGAUGAACCAGACUGAGAAGCAUUUUUGUUCUGACCCUUUGAAUUCACAGUGAAUGAGGCAAAUGCCUUCUCAGCUGUAUCAACACUAUGCAUUUCAAGCCUUUGCUCCCGACUCUUCAAAAUGGCAGUUACUUCCUGCAAAUCCACAGUUUCUAGUGUCUUUGUGUUUUCAAUCACAAUGCAUAUAGGGUCAUACUUCUUACUUAGACUAAUUAACACCUUCUGAACCUACCUCUCAUUUGACAGAACUUCACCAAAUGUUUUCAUUUGGUUAAUCAAUUCAGUUAGUCUAGUAAGAUAUUCAGAUAAGGUUUCACUAUCACGCAUCCUACUGUAUUCAAACUCACGUCUAAGGUUUUGAAGCUUUACCGAUCUAACAUGCUCUCCACCAUGAUAUUCUGAGUACAGCAGAUUCCAAGCCAUCUUUGCAGAGUCAGCAUUGGCAAUUCUGGGAAAAAUCUGAUCAGAAACAGCAUUUUGAAUGAUACCCAAGGCCUUCGCAUCCUUCAUGAGAAUCGCAGCUGUUUUCUCAUCAACUUCUUCUUCUGAACCAUCCUCAGAUUCCUGCUUCGUCUUUGAAUCUGGGAUUAAAAACCCCUUCUCUACCAAACCCCAUAAACCAUAUGAUCUGAAUAUGGUUACCAUCUUAAUCCUCCAAAAUUCAUAGUUCUCACCUGAGAAAAUGGGGAUUCUAGCCUCUGAACUUCCAGAUCCAGCCAUUACGAAUUUCAGAUUCGCCUGGAAACAAGAUGUUUUCAGAUUUGACCCUUGAUCGAGCUCAAUCAGCUUCGUGAGCUUAGAAUGAGCUCACCUCGAUCGAUUUUCUUCACAGAACAACGCCCAGCUUCAGAUAAUCAAACUUGGCUCUGAGGCCAUGUUAGAGUUUUAGGAUCUGAGUGUUAGAUAUUGUGAGAAGAGAGAAGAGAAUUUAGUGAAAAUUUCCAAUACUGCUCUGCUAUACGUGUAGCAGAGAGAACAUUCUCUUUUGCUAUAUAUUUUCAGUACAACAACACACACUUGGUGUGAGAAGAAAAAUGACUGUUAUGCACAGUACCAGCUGGAUGCUUUCCAUCAAAGUAAUCUCAGCCAUUCACUAUCUAACCAAUCAAGCUAUGACACCUGGACUAAGUAUAAAGAAAUACAACUAAGCAGAAAACAAGACUCUUAAUCCUGAAAUCAACUUAAGCACUUAUAAUUCAACAUUGUUACCAUAAGAGCCAGCUCCGACUUUCUUUAAUUUCAGUCCUAACGGGGUUUCAUCUUCCACUCAUCUUUGCUCUUCUCAGUGUAAGCUCUGCAAUUUGAUUAACUUUCCCAUUAUCUCUCACUGUACUCUAUAUAAAGGAAUAAGUGUCGUCCACUAAUUAAUUACACUUUGUGAGAUUUGAUUUUAAUUAGAGUUCGAAUUGAUGUUGCAGCUAGCAGCGGUGGCACUGGCAAACCAUGCUGCUCAACCAGCACCUCAACUUUACUGGAACUCCGUCCUGCCAAACACACAAAUGCCAAGAGCUAUCAGUGAACUUCUGCAUCCUGGUUUGUGUUGAAUAAAUAUAGUAUGUUACUGGAGUACGUAUGGCAACAUAUUCACAAAUGUGUCACGUAUUUUCCAAUAUGACGUUGAUAUAUAAUUGCAGACUCCACAAACGAAGAAAAGAGCACAAAUGUCAUGAAUGCUGUUGGGAAUGGAAAGCCAAUUGACCACAAGGGCAACCUGAAAAUACUGUACUACCACAGCUUGCACGACGCCCAUUUUCUUACAAGAGUGAUGAUCGUCCCACUGACAAUCAACUCCAUUAUAAAAACGUAGCUAUUUUCUUCUUGGAGAAGGACAUGCGCCCUGGCACAACAAUGAGCUUCCAAUUCCCUAGAAAUUCAAACACGGCUACUUUCCUGCCACCAGAAAGAGCUCAAUCGAUCCCCUUCUCCUCUAACAAACUACCAGAAAUUUUCAACCAUUUUUCAGUGAAGCCAACAUCUGUGGAAGCCAAAACAAUUAAGCAAACAAUCGAAGAGUGUGAGGCUCCAGGCAUUAAGGGAGAGGAAAUAUAUUGCGCCACAUCUUUAGAAUCAAUGGUUGAUUUUAGCACUUCGAAUUUUCGAACAAGAAACGUUCAAGCAAUCUCGACAGAGGUAUUGGAAAAAGGUGCCACCAUGUCCAUGCACAAGCAUACAACAAUGCCGGGACUGAAGAAGUUGGCAGGUGACAAAGUCGUUGUGUGUCAUAAGCAGAACUAUCCCUAUGCUGUGUUUUACUGCCAUGUAAUAAAACCAACAGCAGCUUAUGUUCUCUCCCUGAAAGGCGAUGAUGGGGUGAAGAUUAAAGCAGUAGCCAUCUGCCAUCUAGACACAUCAGAAUGGAACCCAAAGCAUUUGGCCUUCCAAAUCCUCAAAGUUAAGCCCGGAACAAUUCCCAUCUGCCAUUUCCUUCCCACUGAUCAUAGUGUCUGGGUUCCGAACCACAAAUCUGCAUGAUCAUCACUUAGCACUGUACGUAUAAUAAGCUUGCACCCCUGUAUAAUUAUCUCCCUACUCUACUUAUUUCUGCCUCUUCAUGUGGUGUAAGAUAUAUGAUGAGAUGAAGUUUUUGGGAUUAGUGGUCGGGUUGCCUUAAAAACACAGAUUACAGAAACUGCUUGAACUUAACCCGAUCAUGUUUUCUCUUGUACUCGUAAAGCAUGCUGUUGUGGUUCUACUUAAUUUCGUUCUCCCCAAUGUUUGAGUGUUUAAUUGUUACGUUGGAUAAUGCUUGUAGUUAGAGAAGCCUUCAUUUAUAUCAAAGUCCUCAACUUGUAAAGAUAUCAAUGGUCCUAGUGCUGCCACGUGUAAGAAGAUUGAAGAAUAAAGCUGUUGAGAUAUUGUUAGACCUGUUAUGCAGUUUAGGAAAACUGUUAGUAUUGAUAAGAGAAGGUUAGAGAUGUUAGAGAGGUUAGAAAACACGUGAACAAGGCUUUAACUCAGCUGAUAUAAAGUCUGUAGUUGUGCUCAGUUGAACUUAAUGAGAAAUACAACAAGUCUCUUCUCUAUCUCUGAAAUUCUCUCUGCUCUCUCUGCUUUACUUCUUUUGUCUCUGCUCUACAUUUUUUUUCAAUCUUCCUAUCUUAACAAAACUAUCAAGAAUUAAUGCAUCCAGAAACAUAUAUACCAAGACGCAAAACAACAUAUUUUUCAUGCUCUGUCUGUAACACCAAAGCAAACUUCCUUUAUCACAAAAGGAUCAAAUUCCAGUACUAAUCUAAUCCAUCAUGUAAAGCAUACAAUCUACAAGUGCCUCCCUUAAUUUGUCCAUUGGAUAUAUAUGUCACUUUUUGGUAAUUUGGUAUAGCAGCACCACGUAGUCUUGAAAUAGUAGUGCGGCUAUACCAAAUAUACCAUUUGCCCCUGCAUUUAACAGAAAAGUAAACAAAAUUGACGGUAGAACUAUUUGUCCUAACGAAACUGCAGUUGAAAGACCAUGAGAACGAUUUUGAAAAUUGAGGGACUCAAAUGAAAAUUGGGUCUAAGUUCAAGAACCAAUAAAACGAUUAACCCAUAGAUUUUGGAUCCAGUACCACAUCCCAAAGAGAAAACCACAAGUUUGCAAGCAAGUUUGUCCAUAAUAACACUACGUACAGUAUGGGCAGUGCGCUAGACUCAUCUCACUUUCUCAACCUAUCCUAUAGUUGUCUAAAAGAGUUUCUAAUUUAAUGUACUGAGAUUUACGAAAGAAAUAUCAGAGAAACAAUUUUCAGGCAAUAAAAAAAUGUCUUGGCAAGAAAAUGUACAAUUUGUUACAUAACUUAUUAAAUAUGAACAGUUGAAAGAAAAAAGAAUCUGGAUGAGGGAUUUGCAAAUUCCUAUGGCCCAAUUACCUUUUUUUCUUUGUUGUUUUUUUUUUUUUUUUUUUGGUUCUUUUGAUCCAGUAGCAUAUUCCAAAGAAUGAAAACCACAGGCAUGCAAUGCAAGCUCUUUUCCCACGUUUUCCUCUGUUUUUCUCCUAUCAUGGAAGUGAUUAAAACACACCUCUAAGCUUGUUUUGCGUUUGGUAGCCGAGUGUAAAAGCUCAAUGCAAGAUAGUUUGAGGUAGAAUUUUCUCCUAUUUUAUUAGGACAAUGAUAAUUAAAAAAAAGUGUGAUUCAUUGAAUAUUUGCGGGGUUUUGUUCAGACCUGACAAAGUUCUAAGUCAACACAUCAAAUUCCUUUUUCCAACAUGCAACAAUUGUAUUUGAUUCCCAAUUUUUUCUGAUAUACAUCACAUCAUGCCACUUGCAUCAAAUGAAUUUAAUUGAGUGAGGCAAUGGGAAGUAAUUAAGCUCUGUAUUCGUGGGUGGAGUGUUACUUCUGGAACCCUAAUAAUUCGUCCCUACAGGACUCUAGAACUCUCAAACUUCUUACAAGGACUACUUAACUCUAUAGCUUAAUGCAUAUAGCAUAUAUAUGCAAACACAAUUAGAAAUUCUACAACAGAAGCAAGAUCAAUCUCACUAUGCCUUCUAAACAAACAAACAAAUAAAACAAGCAUAUUAAUUGCUUUAAUCACUCUACUAACAUCAACACAGCACACUUAGUUUACUAACAGAUGAUAUAGAAAGGAAAAAAAAGGACCAAUAGGGAGAAAAUGGUGAACUAAGGAGAGACUAAUACUUCUGGUCCUUAGAAGGCAUAACAGAAAUAAUAGAGCACACUGCUUGAAUGCAAGUCAGUAUUAGGAGCAAAACAGCUGCAAUGAAAGAAAUAGUUGCCCAAGGUGUAUUGAAAUAAUGUUGCCUCAAAUUUGCCUUCCAUUUGUUCCAAGGCUUUCUGCAGUAGCUAUUAAGGCGCUCAGAAAGAAUAGCAAAGUAGAAGCUUUCACGAUACACUGCAAUUCCUUUUCCGAGGUUGUUAAUCAGAGUGCACACCUCAUUGUAGUCACCAAGCAUAUUUUUGACAAUCCCAUCCUUCAGAAGGAACUCCACAUCCUUUUCGGUGUUCACAAACUCAUCCAUGAGUGAAACAUAAUCACUUAUGUAAUUCUUACGGCAAUGGCACUAUUCAAAGGCAAUGAGGUUACGGAGUGUGAGCUCUGUGUAAUCGUGUAUUUUUAGUUUUGGAAUUUCUAGAAUCCCAUCGUUGAAUUGUGUUAACGCAGCUUUCCUUUCCUAGCCUACACGGAAGUCAACUUCACAAUCUCCUCCUAGCAAUUAGUCUUUCCUGCUGUAAAUCAGAUUUCCUACUGUAAAUCGGAUUGUAUUCAUGUCUAUAUUAUUUCCUACUUUAAGUAGAUAUCUUGUACUAGUAUAAAUAGGGACUUUGUGUAAUCUGUUAAAUACAAGGAAAUAUAUACUCUGCAUGGUAUCAGCCUAACCUAGGGUUCUCUCUCUCUCCCUUAUUCGAUCCUCUUCUCCUUUAGGUCCACCUCAUGGCUUUGUCUGAAUCCACCAUCUCCCUCCCAAGCCCCAACUCUUCUAUUUUAUCAAGCUUAUUGACUCCAACUAUCUUCUUUGGCUCCGCCAACUCAAACCCUUUUUAGUCGGCCAUGACCUCUGGAAAUUUAUCGAUGGCAUUCAUAAACAACCUUCUGCCCACACCUCCACCUCUACCACCGCAACACCCACAACCACCACCACUCUUACCCAAAUCAAUCAUGCCCAUGCUCAGUGGUACCAACAAGACCAACUCAUUGUUAGCUACAUCACCAAUACACUCUCUGAGUCCAUUCUCUUUCUCACUGUUGGUUGCACCUCUGCCCGGGAUCUCUGGGAGUGUCUCCAACGCCACUUCUCUCAAUCCAGUAUGGCCAGUGAAUCUACUCUUCGUUUUAAACUCAUGGAUUUGCAAAAAGGCUCUGAACCCACUUAUGCUUACAUUCGUCAUGCUAAGUCCUUUGCCGAUUCACUGGCUGCCAUCAAUGAACCUGUCUCCCCAAAAGAACUUGUCACUACUGUGCUUUGGGGUUUAAGACCCUAUUGCAACAUCCUCGUCACAGCAAUUCUCAAUUUCCCUCUGCUUCCUAACUUUGCUAAUCUUCGUGCUCGUUUGUUAGCAUUUGACGCACAGACUCCUUGAAUCUCUCCUGAUCAAAACACAGCGCAAAUGGCCACCCAAUCCUCUCCUCACACCACCGGUCAUACUUCCUUCCCUUCUCACCGUGGUGGUGGCUCUUCCAACAACAGGCGUGGUGGCCUCGGUGGCUGGCGCAAUAGCGGCCGGGGUGGCUGGCGCAGCUUCUCAUCUUCCUGGAGCAACCCGUGGAAUGGCUUCCAGCAGCUCCAAUGACCUAAUCAACCAUGGCCUCCUUUUGCUCCAAGUUCUGGAUCUCAAAGCAACUGGCCUUCCUUUCAGCCUCCUUGGGCCUAAUCUGCCGCUUCUAUCAAACACUUUGCCCGGCCCAACUCAGCUCCUGGUGUCUUGGGACCCGCUUGGUGCACUACCUGCAAUACCAAUCACAUACUACUACAAUAUGUCCUCAUCGCUACAAUGGCCCAGAAUCCUUUCUUUGCUAGGGCUCAAUUCAUGUAGCCACCUGACUCUACUUGGUACCCUGACACAAGUACCACUCAUCAUAUGAUUGGUAGUCCUUCUAAUCUCCAAAAUCAAUCCUUCUAAUCUCCAAAAUCAACAGCCAUAUCAGGUUCAUAAUUCUGUAUUUCUUGGUAAUGGAGAUUCUCUCCCUAUCUCUCAUACUAGCUCUCUCUUUUGUCUUCCAUCUCUUCGUACUAAUCUUCUUUUUGUUGCCCAUUUUACUUGUGAUAAUUUAGUUUUCUUUGUCUUUACUCUUGACUUUUAUCAAAUCUAUGACUUAUGUACUGGUUCGUUACUCUUUCAGGGCCCUUCUAAAGAUGGUCUUUACCCACUUUCCAUCUCCUCUCACUCAUCCAUAGUCCCCCAUGCCCUUACCACCGUGCACUCUCCUGCUUGGCAUCAUUGCCUUGGCCAUCCAUUCCAUCGUGUGCUCUCUCAUUUAGCGCCAUCUCUAGGCUUUAAAGUUUCUCAUGCUUUCUGUAAGGAUUGUGCACUUAGCAAAUCCACCAAACUGUCAUUUCUUAGUAAUAAAACCUUUGCCCCAUCUCCCUUUUAUUUAAUUCACUCUGAUGUAUGGAUGUCCUCGGUCAUUUCUGUCACUGGUUAUCGCUAUUAUGUCUUGUUUACAGAUGACUUUUCUCGUUACUCCUGGAUCUAUCAUAUGCACCGUAAAAAUGAGGUCUUUUCUCACUUUCAAACCUUUCUUGCUAUGGUUAAAAAUCAAUUUCACACCACUGUACAAAUUCUUUAAAGUGACAAUGGCACUGAAUAUGUUAAUAAUGCUUUCUCUGAUCUUUGCAGUCAACUAGGCAUCCACCAACGUUUCACAUGUCCCCACACUCCCCAACAAAAUGGCCUAGCUGAACAUAAACACAGACACAUUGCCACCAUGAUCUGUCCCCGGUCAUUUAUUCAACCAUCUUGACCUUUUGCUUGAUCAUUUUCCACAAGCAACCGUCCACGUACCCCAAUAAUUUAAAAGGGCUGAUGAUCUUUAAUUUGGUGAAAGCUUCUAUCUACCUACCGUGCUAUAUAUGAGCUAUGCAAUCGUGACCGUGUUACAUGACGUCCCAAUGUCGUAGGGAUAAAAAAAUAAUAGUCAUGGUUUUCUUAUUAAUGUCAAUACAUUCAUAGCAAAGAGCUUGUAGCUCUAGUGGUUAAGAGCAAUUACCCAUGCACUUGAGAUAUUUUGUGUUUAAAUCCCCUCUUCCCCAAUAUUUCUUGUAUAAAAAUAAAAAUAACAAUAAUAAUGACAUUAAUGUUGUAUUCUAUAAAGUGUUGGACAUGUUUUAUACCCCUUUCUUGCAAAUUACAGUUUGCCACGUGUACAAAAAUAAUAGAUAAGUGUUGGACAUCAAGAGCACUUACAUAUAGGUUUAAUAGGUAAGUUUUGAAUAUUUCUGUAUUUAGCUUUAAAUAUUGAAAAUCAACCUAUUAGCAUAUUAAAGAUUUGUCCAUAUUCGACGUACAUUCUCUUAUUUUUCUCUCAUUGAAGUAAAUACAAAACUAAGCACAUAGUGGGAAAGUGCGUCACGAUUAGGGGUGGGUUUAGUCUAGGUUGGUUCAUUUUUGGGCUCAAUUUGAACACCGAACUGUAAGCUUCGGUUUGGCUAUUUUGGAAACCGAAACCAAACCAUAAUUGAUGAAAACCGACCACUUCGAUUACCUUCUGGUCUUCCAACCAGAAGAAAACUCAAAACUUUAACCAUACCAAGUGCAACAGAAUUACACCAGGCUGGAUUCAAGUUUAUGAUGGUUAAAGAUAAAAACUUAUUUGACAUACAAUUUGAGAAUGGAAUCCUCAAAAUUCCACACCUGCGAAUACGGGGUUUAACAGAAAUUUUCUUCCGCAAUCUUAUUGCCUAUGAGCAGUGUGAGCUUCAUGAUCAUUACAUCAACGACUAUGUCUUCAUCAUGGACCGCCUGGUCGACAGUGCCAGGGAUGUGGAAUUGCUUGUGAAGAGUGGAAUUCUUGAAUCUAUGCUACCGGACAGCGAGGCAGCAGGGGAAUUUAUUAAUUCUCUUGACUUGGGGCCUAUUUUAGGCAAGCUUGAAACAAGACUAUUUCAGUUCACCAUGGGCUGGCCUGUCUAUUAUUGUAGCCGCUAUACUAGUUGUGCUCACAUUUAUUCAAACAGUGUGCUCCGUAAUGGCGCUGUAGGUUCUUCAUUUCCUCAAUUUCAUGUUUAGUGGUUGCAGAUUUGUUGCUCAUGUACGUGUUUAUCUAAAGUUAAAUAAGAGUGAUUGACUGGAUUGACUGUUAGUCUGUUAGUUUGUUUUUCUGGGGUUUUUCCCCCCUGUUCGUCAAAAAAAAAAAUAAAAGAGUGAUGGCUUGUGCCUAUGAAAAUUACUUAGGAGUAUGCUCCACAGAGCCAAAAUAAAUAAACUAGGGAAGUGGAGGUUCUUCUGUUUGUAUAUAAAUGAGCAAUUCAAACUCUCAGUGCCAAGGGAGUUACCCUUGAUACAUUUGUUAAAAAUUAUAUAUUUGGUCUUACAUCAAACAAAUAAUUUGAAGGGCUUUUUUGACAACUGCUGACAGCGUUUGGCAGAAAAGUUUAGAAGCGCUUCUACGCUUCUAGAUCAUAAAAGUGCUUUACCAAAAAGCACUUAGAUUUCUUAUGAAAAUUUCAACAUUUUUAUAAUAAAAGCGCUUGCUAGAAGCACUUAUAAGCAGAAGUGCUUCAUAGAGAAGCAGUCCCAAACGAGCUUGAUUUUCAAAUGUGCUGCUUAAGAAGAAAUUUAAUACGUUUUGAAAACAAAAAAAAAUACGAAAUUUAAUACGUUUGUUUUACAAAUUGUAUUAAUUGUUAUCAAUAAUACUUGUGCACACCCACAACAUACUUCUUUCUUUCUUUAUUUUCCUUCAGUACAGUUCUGCCUUUCUUUAAUUAUUUUUAACGAAUGCAAAGAGUUUGUCACAAAAUCAAGGAUUGAAAAAAAAAGAGAGUAAAUUAUGUGCUAGAGAAACUUUCCUGCAGAAAUUGAAGAACAACUCUAGUUUCUCUCUUUCGCCUUGUACUCCCGCACUGAGGUUAGUAUUGUUAUAAUGUGCAGAUUAUACGGUCACUCUUGUAUAAUGGCGAGAAGGCUCUAAUUAUAUUUUUGAACCUCUUUGACAGGACCCGCCCCGAAUUUCCCGAAACCCAAGACGAAUUCUGUGGAAAUUCCCUACAUCACCCCGAUGUUGGGCCCACUUCUAAAACUAUAUCAUUUUUCCUAAAAAGGAAUAAGGGCACGAGACUUUCUACCGAAAUUUCGGCAGAGUCUCUCCUGUAAAUUGAACAUUUCCCAAAAUUUCAACCUGCAUAAAACACAUUUUAUAUUACCCAACUGGCAGCAUGCACAAAAUAAUAACAUGCAAUUCACAUAAACGGCCUCUGGCCCUCCGGUAAUUCAGAGCAAUGCAAACUAGCAACUCUAAACCUAAUAAAACAACAUAAGUAACAUUUAGCCAGCGGCUGCACCCAGGCACUACCCUAGGCUACCUACGUACCCUUACUAAGGGAUCAAGCCACACGUAGUUCUUUCAUACAAAAUUUCCAAAUCCAUCAACAUGCAAUCAAUUACAGAAUCCCAAACAAAAUCUUUCUCAAACAUCAUUAGUUCCCAACUCAGUAUAAUAAUCCUUAAUUCAUCUCUGUAAUAAUCACAAUAUCUCCCCAUACGCCGGAACUACCAACACCACGUAUGGAGCCUGCCUGUACGCCAGAUAACCAACGACACGUGGGACCUCAUCAUCAUAUCACAUAAUCUCCCCAUACGCCGAAACUACCAACACCACGUAUGGGGUCUGUCAACACGCCGGAUAACCUACGACGUGUGACCUCAACAUCAAAUCACAAUAUCUCCCCAUACACCGGAACUACCUACGCCACGUAUGGGGUCUGUCCACAUGCCGGAUAACCUACGACACGUGGGACCUCAUCAUCAUAUCACAUAAUAUAUUAACGAUCAAGAAAUAUCACUACGGUCAUUUAAUCCUCCUGGGAAGGUAAAACUAUCUCAGGAGACUCACGGUCAACCAAGGGUCAAACUACCUCAUACUUGGACAAACGAGCCCACGGAGCCCACAACCUCCGUUUUACUAUCCAAGAGUUCCUAUAGGUUCUACAAGGUUUAGGAUACACGGCUUGCAAGUUUGGUCAAGAUCAGACGGUCGGAUCGCUCACGAUAGGACGGUUACUGCAAACCUAGCCCUAGGGUUGGCAUUUUCGGAGUAUCCGAAACUCCGUUUUACGAUCUGUCGAAUCAUAGACGAUCCUAAGGAUUUGCAGACUAACUAUAAUAAAUUCAAGACCAUCCAACGGUCUAAACCUAUCGAACCCGGAUAACGCGCAAUAGGCAAUAUCCAAAUUGAAAUCCGAGCACACCUACGCACUCGUGAGGACUAGGAGAUUACAUCGGGACAUAGUGCCCUUUUUCUACAGUGCCCAUGAGCCGCCGCACGCACCAGCAACGCGUGGGUGCCCAAAGCGAUUAUGCAUCGCCAAAAAAUCUCAAAACCACGGCUCAAGACUCCUACCCUAGGUAUAACACCCUAUUUGGAACCACUUUUGUUCUUGGACCUACCCCAAAAACUGAUCAGAAGUGGCCGGAAUGGCUGAAAUGUAAUUCAAAAAUCAAGCUACCAACGCUCAAAAUCGAUGCAAUCCUACCCAACCAUCAACUAGAUUAUGAAGAAUGGAUAAAUUUCCAUACCUUGAUCGCCAACAAUGGCGGCCGGAGGAGAGAGAUCUGAUCCGGCGAAGUUCGAGUGAAAACGGCCAAAAAUCAUCUUUUUCAGGCGGCUGGAGGGCGACCGAUGUCAGGGAAGGGCAGGGUCGUGACGCUAAGGCUGAGCCUGUCCUUUUGGCACCGGUCCCUUCCGCAGCCGUGUCCGGUGGCUGGAGUUUCGAAGAGAGAGAGAGAGAGAGAGAGAGAGAGAGAGAGAGAAAUCUGAUUUUUAUCAAACCUUUUUGCCAAAAUUACGGUUAUGCCACUGAGGGUAUUUUGAUAGUAUCUCUCUCGUUACAACUUCGAUUCGAGCCCACCACGUGUGUACGGACUCAUCUAACUGUGUUGUACGCAACGGUAUAGUCGAAAUUCCCAAAUUAUUUCCUUGUCAAAAAGUCAACUUUAAACAUUAUAAAAUAUUUUAGGGAAAAAAUGGUAUUUUCUCUCAAUAAAUUAGUAACUAAUUUAUUUAGGACUGGGUCAUUAUACUCUUUUUCGCUUCAAUGGAUGGGAAAAAAUUUUAUGUAAUAUCCCACAUCGACCAACGAAGAGGGGGCGAUGUGUCUUAUAUGUACAUGCCCGCCUCCAUCUAGCAUAAGGCCUUUUGGAAGCUCACUGGCUUCAGAGUCAUGGGAACUCCGAAGUUAAGCGAGUUGGGGGCUAGAGCAAUCCCAGGAUGAGUAACCCACUGGGAAGUUGCUCGUGAGCUUCGAGAAACAAAACCGUGAGGGCAGAGAGAGGGGCCCAAAGCGGACAAUAAGGCCUCGUGCUAGAUGGAGGCGGGCAUGUACAUAUAAGGCACAUCACUCUCUCUCCGUUGGUCGAUGUGGAAUGUUAGAAUGGAAUUGUUACCUUUGGUGUGGAGGUGUUCUAUCAUUUGAGCAAGAAAUUCCCACAUAUUCUUCAACUAUUUUUCAAGCAUGCAUAUUCCUCCCUAUCAAUCUUUGGUUUCUUCCUUUACUGUGCAUAGUAAGGAUCCAGUCAGGGACGGACCGUCGCUAUGACUAUCCUGGGCUAUAGCCCAGGCAAAUUAUUUUUUUUUCUAGUCUAAAAUAGCAAUCCCACCGCUUGCUGUAGUACUUGUUCAGUUCGUCACAAACAUGAGCAUAAUAGAAGUUAUCAACAUCUAUAUAGGAACCCCAAUGAAAAGGCUGUUAACUAAUAAUGAAGUUAACCCGUCAAUUUUUCCGCAUAUCAGAUAUCUCUCAGAAUAUGCGAUUCCAUAUUCAAUAAGCCACUCCACAUGCCCUGAGGUUUUCAUCAAACCACCCAUUAAGGAAACAUACUGACUCAUGUAAUUAUCAUUACUCAUCGGGUAAUGCAAUUGUUCAAAGGCAAGGACAUUUCUCAUUAUUUAUGUAGCGAACCCCAAUGGAAAUGGUGGGAUCUUCAGAACCCCAUCGGUGCUACUGAAUUGUAUGUCAAAUAUGUUUUCACCUUGUCACGCCUCAAACUUGACUCCAGCGUGCUGUAAUUCUGUCAAGCUGGGUAUGGAUGAUGGGAGUUUGAUGCAGGAGCAUAGGGGUGGAUCAAGAUAGAUAUUUACUAUUUAAUUAGUUAUUUCAUGAUAUAUUGUUAUUUUCUUAUUUAGGUAGUUUUAUGAUAUCUUUUAUUAUUUAUGUGUGAUUUUAUAAUUAAUUAGUAUACUUUUGGACCAAGUAGCCUUGGUGCUCAAGUCUUGUAAAGCCUAUAAAUAAGGCUAAUGUAAUAGUUGUAGAAUAGAUGUCGAUGAUUAAUAAAAUCGUUUAUUUGUGGCAUGGAUUUGCUACGAUAUAUGUGAGUUUGCACUAGCCCUAGAUUUCAGUGCUCGUGUAUGUGGUUGGUGACCUGUGUCCGGAUCCCGAUCCCCAUCAAUUGGUAUCAGAGCUAUGGCUCAAGAUCUGCUAUAUCGGGGAGGUUUUUGGAUGGAGGGUCGUUUUAACAACUACAACGACAUGGAGGAAAUUAGGAGGAUGCUACGGCAACUUAUGGAACACAUUGCUCGCAUUGAAGCUCGAACCCAGAUAGGUAAGAGUUCUGACGGGGAGGGAUGUGUGAACCCUUAUCUGAACCGAGUAGCUCGCAUCGACACUCUAAGCCGUGAGAGUCUCGACGGGGAGUACGAGGGAGAUAGCCCUUUUCAUUAUUGUGCUCCGCUGUGUGAGUCAAGUGAAGAGGGGCACGGUUAUUCUCAUUGUGUCUUUGAAGGUAUAAAUGAAUUUAGUAAUUUUGGUGCAUCUUGUUAUUCAUCAAAGUUAUUAAAUUUGGAUUUACCUCCAUUAUUUGAUCCUUGCAAUUGUGAAAAUUGCAAUAAAAAUUGUUUGGGUGUUCAAAGCAAUUUUGAUAAGCAAUUUAUUGACCAGAACAGUGAAGAGAUGAGAAUUGAGAAAACUUUCGAAGAUAUUAUUGAUUUUAUGGGCAUUAAUAUUUUCACUUGGAAGGUUGCCAAAAAUCUGGUUGAUUUUGUCAAUCGGUUGAAGAUUCUAGAGAGAAACAUUUGCAUUGCUAGAGGGAGUAAGAAGUCAAGAAUAACGAAAUAUUCCAAAUAUCUUUUUAUUUGGAAAGGAAGGUUUCAAUUGGAUGCUAAAAGAUCCAAAAUUAAUAUGCAGCAAUUGAAGAUUCUACUCGGAUUUUCCUUAAUCAAAGGCUUGAAUUCGAGGACGAAUUCUUUCCAACUAUGGGAGUCUGAUGCAGGAGCAUAGGGGUGGAUCAAGAUAGAUAUUUACUAUUUAAUUUGUUAUUUCAUGAUAUAUUGUUAUUUUCUUAUUUAGGUAGUUUUAUGAUAUCUUUUAUUAUUUAUGUGUGAUUUUAUAAUUAAUUAGUUUACUUUUGGACCAAGUAGCCUUGGUGCUCAAGUCUUGUAAAGCCUAUAAAUAAGGCUAAUGUAAUAGUUGUAGAAUAGAUGUCGAUGAUUAAUAAAAUCGUUUAUUUGUGGCAUGGAUUUGCUACAAUAUAUGUGAGUUUGCACUAACCCUUGAUUUCGGUGCUCGUGUAUGUGGUUGGUGACCUGUGUCCGGAUCCCGAUCCCCAUCAGAGUUCCCCUCCAGCUUUUGAUUCCAACGGUUGAUAGAGUUUAAAUAUUUUCCUGAAAAGAUCAAUAAUAUGUGCCACUGAUCUAAAAGUCUCCAAAUUGUCUUCCAAUUUGUCAACAGGCAAUAGAUGUUCGAAGAAACUGAAAGAAAUACAAAUUAUUGAAAGCCCCUCAGUAAUGCUGUUAUUGUCAGCAUUAGCAGGGAGUGUAAUUUUCUGUGGGUCGAAAAGAUCCUCGAGAAUGAAGAAUGGCAACUGAUUUUCAAGCAACCACGUAUCUGUCCAUGCAUCUUGCAACAUACCUGGUUUGUCAAAUAUGCGGUCAUUUUCGUCCCAAAAUUUGAAGUAGUCCUUCAAUAAGGGCUCAAUAACGAAGGCGGCGCCCACUAGAAUGAUUGUUACAAAUUCAUCACUGCUAAACUUGAUGGGUUCUCCAUAACAACGUCUCAAUCUUGCUUCGUGGUCCUUUAUUUUCUUAAUAUAAUCCUCCAAACUCACAUUGGUCCGACCUAUAAAAUCUUGCAGGUAUCUCUGUUUGUUCUCUUCCAAUACGACAUUCAAGCCUUCCUUUCCAUGGUGAAGUGGACCUAUAGAGACCGACUGCCUGAGGUGUGCAGAGCUUUUCAUUCACACAUACGUAGAUAAAAUGUCUGGGGGCUCAGAGAGUGAUGAAUGUGCAACAGCUAAUGGGAGGGUUUAUAUUCCUGAAGUAAGAAAUGAGGAAACACCAGCAGUUGGGAUGAAGUUUGACUCGCUUGACCUCGUUUACAAUUUCUAUAAUAGAUAUGCAUUCUUGGCUGGCUUUGGUAUUCGACUUCAUUCUAGCUUUUGGGGGAAAAAUAAGAAAGAGAUUUUGAGGAAAGAAUUUGUAUGUUGCAAACAAGGUGCAUACAAGAAGGAUGAAACUCGGGAGAGAAAAAGACAACGGGGAAUAAGUAGAUGCAAUUGCAAAGCAAAGAUUGUGGUUGUGAAGACAAAUGGGAGCAAGAAGUAUACCAUUUCUCUUUUUGCAGAGGGACACAAUCAUAAGAUGACACCCUCAGAAAGAAUGCAUUUAUUGAGAUCACACCGUCAUAUUUCAGAUUCUACAAAAGUACUCACAAAACAGUUGGGUUCAGUUAAUAUUCCCAUUCAUCAGAAGGUAAGUAUAUUCGAGGUGCAAUCCGGAGGAAUGGAUAAAAUCGGUUUUAUCAAAAAAGAUAUCUACAAUCUUGAAUGUAGUGUGAAUGGGAAGCUGAGGAACCACGAUGUUGAACUAGUGACCGAGUAUUUUAUGGCUGAACAGAAAAAAAAUGAGGCUUUUUAUUUCAAGAUUGAGGGAGAUGGGCAUGACAGGUUUAGUCGAUGUUUUUGGGCAGAUGCAACUUCUAGACGGGCGUAUGGGUUUUAUGGAGAUGUUGUUGUAUUCGAUACCACAUUCAACACGAAUCGAUACGACUUGACAUUUGCACCAAUGUUGGGAGUUAAUAACCAUGGUCAGACAAUUGUCUUAGCAUGCGCAUUUUUGAGCAAGGAAACGACUGAGUCGUUUGUUUGGAUGUUUGAGGAGUUUAAGAAAGCCAUGCCAGGUGGGGAACCUAAAACGAUCAUUACAGAUCAAGAUGCGGCAAUGGCCAUAGCGAUUUCAAUAGCCUUCCCGAGUACAUUUCAUCGACUUUGCAUAUGGCACAUCACAUCAAAGUUCUCUGUUAAGUUACCACGUGACGCUUAUAAGGAGUAUUGGCCUGAAUUUCAGAAAGCCAUAUGGGAUACUGACAAUAAGGAUGAGUUUGAUGCAAAAUGGAAUAUUGUGGUUAUAAAGGCUGGUUUGACUGACCAUCCAUGGCUAAGUUCAAUGUUUGAUUUAAGGGAAUCUUGGGUUCCAGCCUACGCACGACAAUUUUUUGCCGCUGGAAUGUCAAGCAGCCAAAGAGCGGAAGGUUCUCAUGGUUUUUUCAAGCAAUACAUAUCAAGGAGAAAUUCGUUGAUGGAUUUCAUAAUACGAUUUGAGAGGGCAUUUUCUCAUCAACGUGAAAAAGAGUUAGUUGCUGAUCACGUAGAUGCAUUUGAAGUGGCUCAAUGUCUUCUACCGAUGCCAAUGAACAAACAAAUGGCUACCUUGUACACAAGGACAAUGUUUCAAAAGUUUGAGCAAGAACUAAUACAAAGUACAGCAUGUUUCCUAGAGCUCAAAACAGAGGAUGCAUGUAAAGUUGUGUUCAACGUGAGCGAAAGGAAAAAUUGGGAAACAAGAGUGGCAGAAGUCGUAUAUGUCAAAGAUUCUGACCACGCAUCGUGUAGCUGCAAAAGAUUUGAAUUUGUUGGAAUUAUUUGCAAGCACAUCCUAGCAUUGUUCAGAAGGGACCAGAUUGAAUAUAUGCCCGAUAAAUAUAUUUUGAAGAGGUGGAAGAAAACUGCGAAAUGUGGAUUGGUGUCAGAUGCAAAUGGCAACGAAAUUAAAGACUGUGCAGAUCCUGGCCUUCUAAUAAAGCGGAGUACAAUGUCUCGACUUGCUUCAAAUGUGGUUGAGGAUGCAUUAAUGAGUGAAGAAGGAUGUGAGCUACUGUCAGAGACUCUAAAAAGUUUGCAGGUGAAGUUGAAGUUGCUGAAGGAUGGACCAAGUAAUAACGAAGUUGGAGGGUCCAGCUCUCAAACACAAUAUAUGAAAGACCCUAAGAGAGUGAGGUGCAAAGGAAGGUCGAAAGGAAUAACGGGAGCAAAGGAAAAGGCAAUGAAGCGAGGGAUUAGACACUGUCGGGAGUGUGGACACAUUGGUCAUGAUAGAAGACAAUGCCCAGCCUUGAACACACCGUAAGAUGCUACCACUAUUUGUAAUAAUAUCUAAAAUAUGAAAAGGUAAAAUUUUUAUGUGCUUGUGUUUGAUGUUUAUGCAGGACAUCACCGUCGAACAAUGACAAAUCAACUCCAAUACAUCGUAGUGACCCAUUAUUCGACGAUUUUGACAAGAUGCACAGACCAACUGAAUGAUUGAUAUUUGUAUUAGACGAAAUGUGGUUGUUAUGAAGAUUAAUGAUCAAGUGAAGUUUUAUAGAUUCAGUUUUUGAAUGUUAUUGUGUUUUUGUUCAUGUCCACCGAUGAGCUCUUACUAUGUCCACUGGUAAUUGAAAUGAAAAUUUUCUUGGUUUCAUUCUUCCAAGACAUUUGGAGACAUGUUAAUUUUACGUCUUCUCCCUAUUUAUAAAUUUUCAUAGACAUUUGAUCAAGUUUGAAAUUUGUAGUUAUGUGAAGAAGCAAUGACUCUUACCAUGUAAAAUGGGCAGUUUAGGGUGAAAUUUGUUUUAACAGAGAUUCAUUUUUCAAUUCCUCAGGGUAAUGCAGCAAUUACAGCAGCCAGCUGUUGUUUCCAUUACCAGUAAUCAUUUCCAGCAGCAGCCACUUUUUCCGACUGGUUAUUAGGGGCACGAUUUUGUACACUUUUGUAAGUGAAGGAUACUCGAAGCACUUUGUUGGAACAGAGCAAAUAGAAACCAGCGGGUAAAAAAAAAACAUAACAUUGCAGCUAAUUACAUUUCGAUACAUAGGUGAAAAAUAUUAAAGGGUACACUAACUUACAUAAAUACUCAUAAUUCCACACACAAAAGAACAUUUGAUUGCAAAACAUAUUAUGUGCUUCCUCAUAGCAAUACCACGAUCUCCCCAACCAACUGAACAACGGUAGCCACAAUCACUGGGUCGUACUCGUCAGCUUCUUCUUAGCAGGUCUCACAUGCUUAUGGCCACUCAUAUCCCUAGUGAUAUACACGAAAUAAAUCUUCAGCAAUAUUUGGAAUUUUAUUAUAUAUAAAUAAACCAUAAACCAUUCAGUAAACAAUGUAUAGCACAUGUUAUGUAACUUAUGACUCACGUGUCAGUUUUUUUUUUAACACAUUAGUACUCCAGCUCUUUAAUGUAAAUGGACAUGAUAAGGAGCAUUUACUGAUUCCCGGCUUUCUAUGAUAUUGACUGCUUCUUGAAUAAUAUUUCCAUAUUUGCAAAAUAUAAUGUUAGACAUUAUAACACAUGAUGACUUGCAAUACAUAGUCCCAAUAAUUAUAUAUCAAGCAAAUGAAACUGAUAUUUGUGUUAUUUUAAGUUAGAUAAUGACAUUAAGGGAGUAUAUGUGCAAUACCACGGUCACCCUCAACCAACUGAACAGCGGUAGCCGCAAUCACUUAGUCGUAUCGGUCGGCUUCUUCCGAGCAGCUUUGACGUGCUUAUGCUCAUUCAUGUCACCCCCAUCGUCUAGUAUCUCUCUCACAGCAUCAGGGGACACAUAGUUCCAAUCAUAACUUGUAUGAGUAGUUGCCGCAAAUGCUCGGAAUUUGUCGAAUCCUUCGUUGAAUGCCAACUCCAGUUCAGUAUGGUGCUCUUCGCAUCGCAUAUGGUUCAUCAAACAACCUUUGAUUUCAUCAUUCAUUACUGUAUCCAACUCCUCAGCUUUCAGCUUCCUGCUAUGACUCAGCUUCAAGUACUUGUUCUUUUGGGAUAACGCUUUGUUCACCCUAAUGUUAAGAUCAGCCAAAAUUGCCUCGUCUUCAACACAUUUCUCGUGCCAUGAAUUGAUCAGUCUGGAAUUAUAAUCCAGCUUGCCACUGACUGCAUGUAUUGCCUGUAAUGGAUCAUCGGAGUCCCCCUCACUCCCAAAUGAUGUUGAAAAAGGAAGGGGUCGGCGAGUACAAUGUGGAAAUAGAACCUGCCACUCCAAUUUGUCAUCUUCGAUUGUGUUGUUGGCGCCUGAAGAGGUUGACAUGCUUGAAUAAUCCUCUUUGUUUUGGGAGGAUGAGGAUUGCAUAUGCAAUUUCGUUUGAGAAAGGGAACAUAGGUUUAUAGACCAACAUACCAAAGCUUGUGUGUAGUCAACAUAUGUACUUUUUGGCGGGAAUUUUUUAAAAAUAGGUGUUAGGUUUUGCUUUUCAAGCAUGUCAACCUCACACUCUCCUGACACCACUGCUAGUGGUUGAAACAAAGUCAAUGGAAGUGACAUCUACUUAGUUAACUCAACCAAACUAGUUAGGAUUAAACUUAGAUUGUAUCAGACCAAAAAAUAAUUUCUACUUUGUCAACCAAAUAUUUUUUGGCGGGAACCCUUUUCUUGGUAUUACUAUCACCCCUUUCAUAUAAAAUCUCCUUCCACACAAAACUCACUCCUCCACCGAAUCUGUCUCCAUCUACCGAUACUCUCUCAAGCAAACAAACUCAUUCCCCCCAAAGAAUGAGCAUAAGCACAACCAAGUUUGAUGUGAGCAUAAUAAACACCCCUCCAAACAAAGACCGGCUUCGACACGCAAGUGAGUCACCGGACAAGCAAUGUCACAUUGCUAGACAGAAUGACCAUUUUGUUGGAAGUUUUGAGUCUGAAAGAGUUGUUGCUUUUUGGAAGGAGAGGCAUCUUCAACUUGGUGAUGAAAUCCAAAGGGCAAGGGCACGUUUGGAAUUUGUGGAAGGCCAAAUUGAAGAUGACAAAAGGCAGGCCAAUCUGGAUAGGGCGAAGUUGUAGCGCAUGAAGCGUAGACACAAACGACUUCGGAGUGUAGCUGUUCAAAAAUACAAGAACUCAUCUAAUGUAGUGGAGUCAAAGAAGCGUGUGAUGCAAGCUGGAUUCGACUACUUCCGAUCCUAUGCAAAACUCGUCGUACCCGGGUUUGAUUGGUCAUCUAUUACCGUUUCCGACGUCACCAAAUAUACUCAGCAAGGGAAGUAACCAUUUUGGUUCUCGUGUUUUAGCAGAGGCAAAUAAGUGGAAUUGGAAUUUUGGUUACACUCUGCUUCAAAGCUAUUUUGAUGCUAACUACUAUGGAAGAUUUAAACCUUAAUAUUUUGAUGUCUUUAAUUACGAAAACAGAAGAUGCAAAGAGCUCAUCUACUUCAGCCAUAUGUUGCUGCCAUGUCCAUUUGUUUUUGAUCACUUAUCAGAUUUGGACAUGGUUGCAUCAUAUGCAAUGUUGCCUUUAUUUAUUAUAUGUUAGGACAAGGUUUAUGGAAAAGCUUUUGUGAGUGCGUUUGUGACAAGGUUAUGGAAUUAUUAUGUACACUUUAUAUAUUGUUUUUUGUACUGGUUCAUUUCCUACUAUUUCUUGCUUUCUUUAUAUUUUAUGUUUGUGGAAUCCCUCUCAAAGUUAACAUAUACUGUGAAAAAAAUAUUAUGCAACUGAUUAUAUAAUCACUCAUAUAGACUAGGACAAAUAUUCACUAAGGGUUUUAAACUUGCUUCACUUGUGUGAUGUUAUUGACAAAAAGUAUGGCAUUAUUUAUGUGAUUUGACAUGAUUGAAAAUAUAUUACUGAUUCCCAAUGCGGCGUCAUAUGGACAACGUAUUGAAUACCUGUGACGUGUUAAUAACUCAAGGUGCAGUUGCAUGUGGACAACUUCUUGAAUACCUCUGACGUGUUGAAAACUCUAGGUGCAGUUGCAUGUGGACAACUUAUUGAAUACGAACUGACGUCUUCAAAGCUCUAGGCGUAGUUGCAAUGAUGGCUUCAAAGCAUGUGCAAUUAUUUUUUAUGUACAUUAUUAUAACAAAACAUAUUAUUGUAUAUAGUGAAACUAAAUAUUGUAUUAUUAGAAAUUAUAUUUCGAAUAUUAUCCGAAAUAUACGUGUUAACGUGAAUUUGGGUUAAGAGGAAAGUGAGUUAUGUACAAAUAAUUUUCAUUUUCUCAUUUUCCGGGCAUUUUUUGGAUUUUCGUAGAAUUUAUUACCUAUGUCCACAGAUUGUUGCACUAAAAAAGCCAAAAUAAUAGCAAGAGGACACCUGGAGCGAUCUCAGCCCGUCACUGAUGACUACUUGCACAAGUGUACGUCAGUCAACAUGGCCACACCCUCCCAUUUUACCCUAAAUUAUUAUUUUAUUACUUUUCCUUACAAAAAUCAGAACUAAUUACACACAAAAUAAAAAAAUUAUCCGAAAAUUGCUACGAACUCAUUGACACUCCAUCUCCGUUGCUGAAUUCUCCGAUUCAUUGUUACGUAUUUGUAAAAUUAAUUCCCAACAUUAACGGGAGAUGCUUGUUGAAGUAGGUUAUUCAAGUUGAAGUUAACAAACAUCAAUACUUAGGGUUAAGAGGAAAGUGAGUUAUGUAACACAAUUUGGAUUAUUUCAUUGCGAGACGAAUGAUUUAUAGGUUCUCCUAGUUUUAUGACGUCACAAGUAGGCCGGAGUAAUUUUUGGGGCAUUUUUACGAUUUUCCUACUAUUUUUUACCUAGUUUCAAAGAUUUUUGAACAAAAGAAUCCAAAAUGUAAAAGAAGAUGACACCUGGCGCGAUCUCAGCCCGUCACUUUUCACUACUUGCACAAGUGUACGUCAGUCAACAUGGCCACAUCCUCUCAUUUUACCCUAAAUUAUUAUUUUAUUACGUUUUGUCUUGGAAAAUUCAUAACUAAAUACACAAAAAUUCAAAAUUAUUUCUGAAAAUUGCUACGAACUCAUUGACACUCCAUCUCCGUUGCUGAAUUCUCCGAUUCAUUGUUACGCAUUUUUAAAAUUAAUUCCCAACAUUAACGGGAGAUGCUUGUUGAAGUAGGUUAUUCAAGUUGAAGUUAACAAACAUCAAUACUUAGGGUUAAGAGGAAAGUGAGUUAUGUAACACAAUUUGGAUUAUUUCAUUGUGAGACGAAUGAUUUAUAGGUUCUCCUAGUUUUAUGACGUCACAAGUAGGCCGGAGUAAUUUUUGGGCCAUUUUUACGAUUUUCCUACUAUUUAUUACCUAGUUUCAAAGAUUUUUGAACAAAAGAAUCCAAAAUUAACAAGAAUAUGACACCUGGCGCGAUCUCAGCCAGUCACUUUUGACUACUUGCACAAGUGUACGUUACCGAACAUGGCCACAUCCUCCCAUUUUACCCUAAAUUAUUAUUUUAUUACCUUUUUUCUUGGAAAAUUCAUAACUAAAUACACAAAAAUUAGAAAAACGAUCCGAAAAUUUCUACGAACUUAUUGCGAUUUCAUCUUCCUACUGCAUUCCCUGUUUAAUGGUUAUGCUACAUUAGUAUUUUAUUAUUAUUUAUCCACAAUUAUUAUAAUUAUUAUGAUAUUACUUUUUAGGCUGUCCAUUUGUUAAUUAUACCACAUCCAACUUGUUGAAAACAAUUUUAUUUUCCGUGCGAAUAGGCCAUUUGUAGUGCUUAUCGGUUUCUCUGUUCUUCAAUUUGUUAAUUUUUUUAUUUUUUAGGUUGAAGGGAUGUUUUGAAACAUAAUAUGGAAAUAUACAAGUCAUCCAUUGUACUCCUUCCACACAAAAAAAUAGUCUACGUCAUUCACUGUUCAACACCCUAGGUUAAGACACGUGUAACCAAAUCCGUUCGGAUAUGCUAAGUGGGAAAAUGUCAUUCCCAAGCACUGGUGAAAAGACACUUAUUUACUCCAUGCAUGACUUUUGGUUUACCAAAUAUGAAGAUUGGGGUCGGUGAGCAAAAUAUCUGUGUCAGUAAAAUGUCAUUCCUAGCCAUCUAUGAUGUAAGUAAUAAUUCCGCUAUAUAAUAAAUAUUAUACAUUUAUAUAUAAAACGGUUUAUGACAAAAUACCAACAUUUGAACAACAUUUAAACUGAGAUAGGUAUAACGUAGCCAGCCAACCUAGAAGUGAAGAGAAGCAAGUCCACAAUGCAUCAAAACUGUAAAUUCGUACUAAAACUAAUGCAAAAAUACGUGAUUCCCUCGCACAACUUACUCACGCAGGAUUUUGCACCAAAAAAUACUCUCACGGUGCCAUUUGCAUCGGUUGCAGCAAGUCCAAAACGCAGGAUUUAUCUUGUCUUCACUAGGCCACCCUGGAAUAACAAAAUACCAUUCAUUGUUGUUACAAGCGCUGCACCGAUUGAACUUAAUCUUCCCAUAGUCAAACAUAUCUACGAUAUGUCUUGCAACAAAUGCUCCGCGACAUCUUCCUGUUAAAGCAUCCCUGGUUCCUUUCAUAUCAAUGUUGUUACGUUGAUUCAAAGAACACAAGAAUUGUAAUGCAUCCUCUUUUGACUGACCAAUUCCGGACAUACCAAGUAGUCCAACUACAUAUGCCGCUUCCAUAUGGCCUGCCGUGGCUGCAAUGCGCAUCCCAUACAACGCUUCCACCUUACCGUCUGUGAAAAAACCUUCGAAUGCUUCUCUAAAUAUGGACUCAGGGUUAUCGCAAGCCCUGCAUUGUUGCAAGAAAUGCUGGACUGCAGGUUUGGCACGGUAGCAGAUAGGAUGGUGUGGGUACUUUGCCAUUGAAAUGGUGUUCCACACUUGUGGACUGUUUGCCAAAAUGUUGAACAAUCGGCACACACAUGCCAUACGGAAGAGAUCUUCCGAUGAUUCGGUUGCCACGUAUAACAUCACUUGAAACCAAGCGGACUCCGGGAUAAAGGCUUCGGGCAUAUCGAAAUGGAGAUGCUUCCUUCUCUUUCCUCCGACUGUAGUGAAGUGUUUCGAAUUCAUUGAAAAGUUUUUGGAAUGGAACGAUUUGAGGAGUGGCAGAGGGGAUAAAUGAUAAUAUUUGGGGUACACGUUCUACUUCCGAGCCUCUGUUUAUAGUGUUUUGAAAAGGUGUUUCCAGUUGGGGUUUUUCCAAGUUGACCCUUUUGAAAGAAACUGAAUCCAAGUGAAUUAAAACUUAAGACAAAAGAAGGGAAAACGUCAUAACGGUGCAUACAGAGUCAGACAGUUAAAAAGUUAAUUAAAUGGCUAUUUGCAUAGCCAUUUUUGGGUUUAUCCCACUAUCAAAUUCAUUGAUACAAAUGUGAUGGAUUACUGACUAGUGACAGAAGGUCCCAUCAUAUACUUUUUCAUUUUCGCACACCCAACUAUCCCUAGUAAUGUUAUUAAAAUGGAACCAAUAAUGACGGAUUCUUAUCCAACUAGUUGCCUUAAUGAAAUAUAAAUAAAUUAAUAAAAUUGAAGCAGUGUCCCGUCAUUAGUCAGAAAAUAUAUUUGGUAGUGAAGUAGUUUCUAUUGCUUUUCGGGCUAAAAGAUGUCACAAUGCUGACGGUACAGGUGUCGACAUCGUGACCAACCCACCAAAUGAUCCCAAAAAAAAGUAAUAUAACUCGAUUUGGGCAGAGAUGAGAGAGAGCUGAGUGACAAGUUUAGGGUUAUGAGUGAAGGGGUAUGAAUGACAACUAUGAGUGAGAAGGUAUGAGUCCGAAGAGGUUUCAGUGAGAAGAUUUGAGUGAGAAGAGGUACAACUGAGAAGAUUCAACAUGUCUUCGUCUUCAUCUCCUGCUCAAACAAAGAGGUGUCAGUAUUGUGGAGCUACAAUGGUGCUUCGGGUUUCAAAAUCUGAAAAAAAAUCGAGGGAAGCCAUUCUGGAAGUGUCUAACCUCCUAUGUAAGUUUUAAUUUAAAGAAUAUGUAUGUGGGUGAAAAAAAACCUAUGUCUAACUCUGACAGAAUUAUAUUCCAUAUAUGAUGCCUGCAAUUAGGGAGCCACCAGUUGCAAUGGAUUCGAAUGGGUUGAUGUAACCUCCGCUGAAGCAGAACAUCAAGAUGACACGUAUGAUGUUAGAGUGCUGAACAUGCUGAAGUCCAUUAAGGACUUGGUAUUAGUUUUAUUAGUUGUAUUAAUUGUCAUUUUAUUUGUUCUUUUAAUGAUCAUUUAACUGCACGGUUUAAAAGAUUGUGAAAGUUCUCUCGCACAAGACAUAUUGCACGCACCACCAAUGAGACCCUAAACCCAUUUUGUAAUAUUUGGUAACUGCAUGUAUUUCGCAUGUUAUUGAAUGUUUAUUGAAGGUUUAUUGAUAGUUUGCUGCAUGUAUAUGGAAUAUCAUUGCCCCAAAAUUGGAUGUUUAUUGGGGCCACAAGUAUCACUCAAGUAAGAAUGAAGGGGAGAAACGGACCUUAUUCUUUCUUAUAGUAGGAAGAACAACUGUUAAGUUUAAUAUCCUAUUCAAUACGACUUCCCUAUGGUUGGUGUACUUGGGGACUGAAGUAUAUUGCAUCAUUAUUGUGGGCAAGGGCAUGUCUAUUGUGUGUGUUAAGGGAGUAUUGUGUGGGCAAGGGCAUGUCUACUGUGUGUAUAUUGCAUGUCUACUGUGUGUAUAUUGCAUAUCUAUUCUCUGUAUAUGGCAGGCCAAGUUUGUGUAUAUUGUUUGUCUGUUGUGUGUGUAUUGCUUGUCGGUGCGUUUGUGAAUUGUGGUUCAUUUUGUGUAUAUUGUCUUUGUUUCUACUUUUAUGCUACUGAGCUGCGGAAAACCUCGCAUGUUUAGACACCUAUUAUGAUGCAACACAUUGCGAUUAAUGGUGGCUUGCAUCAACAAUGACAUAUCACUUUGCAAUGAUGUAAUACACUUAAAAAGCCGUCUUCAAAUCCCAAUUCACAUAUGCAGUCUUAAAAUUCUAAUUCAAUGCAGUUUGGUUAACAAACAUGUAAAUGUCAUGAAGGAGUUAGCGGUAGAAUUCGAUAAGGACCCGUACGUCUCUAUUGUGUAUUUACAUUAGUUUGAGAAUGGACAUUCCCAAAACCUUCUCAUGUACCAUUUGUCAUCUUCAACCAAUAUCAUGGGAAGUAAGCAUCUCCCCUUGUUAUCUCCGCAGCCAAUUUCAACCGAAAAAAAGGCAUGUUGUGCGAGGUGCAAGUAGCUAACGGAAGCUUAGCGCUGAAAAGCUCAAUGUACUUUAACACAAACAUGCCACAAUCGCCUCUGAAGCAAAACAAGAACUCGAUCAAUUCAACUAAUGACAUUCUAAUGUAAUUGACAAUUGAAAGUAAUAAAAUUAAAUUGCAAGUUGUGCUUACUCAUUAGACUGUUGUGGAACAUCCACACGCUCUAUUGGCCACGGACACCACCAAUCUCGGCUGCAAUUGUUUGCAUAAACACCUUCUUCAUAAAAGUCGAUGGUGUUGAGAAGAUUUGGAAGCGUAAUUGAUAGCGGGCCGAGUUCUUCCUUUACGAUGUCAUCUGGAAUUAGUGAAACCUUUGAAUCGUACACUUUGAUUCACACAAUACCAGAUCAAACANNNNNNNNNNNNNNNNNNNNNNNNNNNNNNNNNNNNNNNNNNNNNNNNNNNNNNNNNNNNNNNNNNNNNNNNNNNNNNNNNNNNNNNNNNNNNNNNNNNNNNNNNNNNNNNNNNNNNNNNNNNNNNNNNNNNNNNNNNNNNNNNNNNNNNNNNNNNNNNNNNNNNNNNNNNNNNNNNNNNNNNNNNNNNNNNNNNNNNNNNNNNNNNNNNNNNNNNNNNNNNNNNNNNNNNNNNNNNNNNNNNNNNNNNNNNNNNNNNNNNNNNNNNNNNNNNNNNNNNNNNNNNNNNNNNNNNNNNNNNNNNNNNNNNNNNNNNNNNNNNNNNNNNNNNNNNNNNNNNNNNNNNNNNNNNNNNNNNNNNNNNNNNNNNNNNNNNNNNNNNNNNNNNNNNNNNNNNNNNNNNNNNNNNNNNNNNNNNNNNNNNNNNNNNNNNNNNNNNNNNNNNNNNNNNNNNNNNNNNNNNNNNNNNNNNNNNNNNNNNNNNNNNNNNNNNNNNNNNNNNNNNNNNNNNNNNNNNNNNNNNNNNNNNNNNNNNNNNNNNNNNNNNNNNNNNNNNNNNNNNNNNNNNNNNNNNNNNNNNNNNNNNNNNNNNNNNNNNNNNNNNNNNNNNNNNNNNNNNNNNNNNNNNNNNNNNNNNNNNNNNNNNNNNNNNNNNNNNNNNNNNNNNNNNNNNNNNNNNNNNNNNNNNNNNNNNNNNNNNNNNNNNNNNNNNNNNNNNNNNNNNNNNNNNNNNNNNNNNNNNNNNNNNNNNNNNNNNNNNNNNNNNNNNNNNNNNNNNNNNNNNNNNNNNNNNNNNNNNNNNNNNNNNNNNNNNNNNNNNNNNNNNNNNNNNNNNNNNNNNNNNNNNNNNNNNNNNNNNNNNNNNNNNNNNNNNNNNNNNNNNNNNNNNNNNNNNNNNNNNNNNNNNNNNNNNNNNNNNNNNNNNNNNNNNNNNNNNNNNNNNNNNNNNNNNNNNNNNNNNNNNNNNNNNNNNNNNNNNNNNNNNNNNNNNNNNNNNNNNNNNNNNNNNNNNNNNNNNNNNNNNNNNNNNNNNNNNNNNNNNNNNNNNNNNNNNNNNNNNNNNNNNNNNNNNNNNNNNNNNNNNNNNNNNNNNNNNNNNNNNNNNNNNNNNNNNNNNNNNNNNNNNNNNNNNNNNNNNNNNNNNNNNNNNNNNNNNNNNNNNNNNNNNNNNNNNNNNNNNNNNNNNNNNNNNNNNNNNUUUUCCUCUCCCUCAUCUCUAUUAUUUGGCCCUUCACCCCCUUCAAUCCCUUCAUCUUCUUUUUCCUCUCCCUCAUUUCUGUUACUUGGCCCUUCAUCCCAUUGAAUGUCAUCCAUUUCCCCAUAUCCCUUAAAUAGAUGUGAGACGACACAACGAUUCGUCCUCUGUUUCAGUAAAGCUAGGUCCCUCCUUACUUCCUGCUCAAACUGAGGACCUAAACAUUGGUCCAAUAGUUUUUCCAUCCGUAUGACCUUUAAGUGAAGGACGUCUUUUUCCCGCUUUUCUUGAAACAACUCGGACCUCAACAAGCUUACCACCUUGUUCAACUCAUCAAGAUCACCACAUGAAGAAGGAAUUGACUCUGCCGAGACAACAGCAGGGCGAUCCUGUGGCCAACUCCAAUAUGGCUGUCUCAUUUCCUCUUCACUUAGACAUAGCGCCCGCAACUGAACUGACUGUUUCAGAAUACAGACAAGAGUCAUAUUAAAUCAUUCUACUUCAUAAUUUCAUUCAAUCUUAUCAAUAGUUCUAAGGGCUGCAAACCAAACCUCUUUGCUCUGGAAAAAAUAAUUGUUCAACUUUCUCAUCUCUGGAACAGACGUAGUAGUUCUCCAUCGCAAAAUACGCGGGACAGCGGUCGGAUCAACAACCUUGCAGUAAUUCAGGUCCGCCAUUCUAGGAAUUAAUUCAUAUACCCAAAUCUACACAAUUCACAGGACAAAAGUCAUUAUUUAUGUUUUAAAGAAAAACAAAACAUAACUGACAUGAACAUUAUUACCAUGUACCUGGAAAGCAUACGUGAAACCUUUAAAACUCCAGCCACUCCUUUGCGCUUCACUAUGCUUAUCCUUCUUGCCCUUCUCAUUUCUCCGGCUUGUUCCCGUUACCUUACUUUUCCCCUUCCCUCUUCCCUCUUCAUUUUCCAAGCUUUUCACAUACUUUGUUGGUGCAGAAAAUAGACUGUCUUGGGUUUUGUCAAAGGACACCGAACCCCACGGAUACCUGUUGAACGCAUCCAAGUCCUCUACAAGGGUCAGGUAAUUUAGAUUGAUGUUCAAAUGUUUGUCCCUUCCCAAAACCACUAACUCAGCAAAGUAAACAAGAGGUAGCUUGAAGAUGUCAUCUUCCUCUGUGCACCUCACAAAUGCUUCUUCUAAAGCAUUGCAUGUAAUUCCUUCGUCUAUAAAAUAUCUUUUCUGAAGUCUGAUUUCAUUACUCUCUCCACUGGAAACUUCAGGCACUUCCCCAAAACGAAGCCCUGUGAUCAAACAGAAAUCCUGACGAGUGAACUGAGCAACGUCACACCCUAAUAAGAAACUCAGUCCAUCCAAGUCUUUCACACCCUGCCCCGCUACUCUACGCAACACAACCCCAUGCACAAUCUGUCCGCUAAACUGAAUCUUAUCUAUAUUCAGAAGAUGGCCAAAGCAUGAUGUCUUGAAUUGUUCUAAUUGUUCCGCACUCAACUUCGCUCGAAUUGCAGCUAGAGAUGAAUUUGCAUGUGAGCAGUUGUUCACCCGUGAUGAAUAUACCUCUGCCUCUGGCCAUACCAGCUCCACGUUGGAUCCCAUUUCCUCAAAUACAAUGUGAAAUAACGUGAACAUAUAUACUACCACGUAUUUGCACAAUCACAACUAGUCAACCAGGCACAUUACAACUUUUACAAAGUACAUGAGCAUAUGGAUUACUCAUCACAGGCUUUAACAUCAUCAAAGCAAUAUGACAAUUUUUGUGCAAAUACCUGUUAAUGCAAUGAUUAUGUGAAUUACAAACAAUUUCACGUGUUUUAUUUAUGGAUCCAUACUCGUGUGAGUGCAAUGUAGGCAAGUUCUGCACUUCACACACAUGACAAUUAUUGUCAUCUCAUACACAACCCAAAAUAAAUAAAUAAGAAAUAUAGUGGAAGGAAGCAAAGCAAAGCAUGUACUCUGCUAUCUGCUUGCUAAGCAAUUGCCACAUCCUUCUUUCUUUCUACCUUUUUCUUCAGUCACCCACAAUCGUCAUAGAUCAACCUUCAUUUCAAAUGCUUUGCACUUUUAUUCAUGAGUUUAUUAUUAUCUGUUCUCAUUUCUCAUAGGCAAAUUUAGUAACAAAUGAAAUAAUAUUUAUUUCACAAAAUAUAUAAAUUCUAGUGCCAGAGAGGUACUCUUCACUCUGCACUGCUUCAAAUGUGGAAGGUUUUGAGAUGUUAUUGACAUGUGAUUGACUUUAUUUUCAUUCGUUUUUUAACAUAUACCCAAGCAAAAAUUAACAUGCAAUUGAAGCACAAAUAAGAGAUGCCAAAUCCAACAACAUUGAUGGUACAAAUUGGGGAAAACCAUUACUCUAACCCUAAACUCAAAUUCCUUACAUUACUCAUCAAAUGCUUUGCAGUUCUAUUCAUGAGUUUAUUAUUAUCUGUUCAAAUGUUUCUCAGGCAAAUUUAGUAACAAAGGAAAUCAUAUUUACUUCAUAAAAUAUAUAUAUAUAUAUAUAUAUUCUAGCGCCUCUUCUUAAUCUGCACUAUGCACUGCUUCAAAUGUGGAAGGUUUUGAGGGCCUCCUCCAAUUCAACACCAUUAUCUUAUUCAUAUCAUUAUUGACAUGUUAUUCACUUGUUAUUGACUUCAUUUUCAUUCUUUUUUUAACAUAUACCUAAGCAAAAAUUAACAUGCAACUGAAGCACAACGAAGAGAUGCCAAAUCCAACAAAAUUUAUGGUACAAAUUGGGGAAAACCAUUACUCUAACCCUAAACUCAAAUUCCAUAAAUUACUCACCAAAUGCUGGUUAUUGCAAGGUGUCUGUGUGGGGUCUUUCUGUUUCUUUGCUCCACAAAUGGAACCUACCACUUCCAACGAAUACAGCUUUUCCCCUUCCCCUUCCACUGCUUCGCCUCUUCACUGAUUUGGAAUCCACACCUUUGCCCCUUCUACUCCAAAUAAAUACUUUCUCGGGGUCUGGAGAACGGAGUGGCGAAUCGUUGCCUUCAACUGUCGUUAGCCGUUGCCUUCAUUGGGUAUCUCAGACCUCUGUGUUUUAGAGAGAUGAGUUCUUUCUGUUCAAACUUCGAACUUGCCUCUUCUUCUUCUUUUUCGGACGUGUUUCCCUCUUCUUCUUCUUUUUGGACGUGCUGGAUAUUCAAUUCGGGUUUGGGUUCCUUACCUACCCAAUUGUGAAACUUUAACUCAAUUCUCCCCAGCCCUUGGAUUAAUCUGAUGGCUAUAAAGUGAACCCCUUAUAACUUACCCCUUAUAACUUUCCACUCAUUAUAGUCUUGGCCAGGUAUGGCGGCCAUGCUAGUAAGUGUUGGGUCUUUGACCCAACUUAAGCUAAAUGGGUCAUAAGAUGACCGAUCAUCUUAUCUCAUAAGGAUAUAUAAGUCAUGUUAUGAUUUAGGAUUUUAUAGGGUUUCCUUUGUAAGAGGUAAGAGAGAAACAAGCUCUCUCUCUCUCUACACAAGGAGGUCAGCCAUAGCAAGGGAAAGGCUCCUAGCACUCUCCUCUCUCUUAUUAUAUCAUCCUUCCAAGGACAGCUUUGGUAUGGUAAAGUUGGAGGUUGCACACUUUGUGCACUUUGGUAAGAACUCAUCCAAGGGAGCCAAGAUUAAAUUGGUUAGCUGUUGGAUUAAAUUGGUUAGCACGAUUCAACGGUUAAUAGAUAAAACUUCACAUAAAAGUCAUAUAUAAGGCCCUCACUAUAGAAUGACUCGUUAGUUUAGUCUCUUGUUACAUAUCAAAUGUUAGAGAUAUUUUUUAAUAAGGAUCUGCCAUACCACAUAGUUGGAUAAGACAUUAUACACGGCUUUUGUAAGAGCAUCUCCAGCGCUCCAAACUAGCCCAAGCAGCAGGGGGGCCUAAGUCUAGGAAGCAGCUCCAGCUCGCAAGAUUCAACCCAGGCAAGGUGUGGAACCCACGAGGAGAUCUAGCCCGUCACCUUGCCUUUGGGUUUCAGUCAAGCUGAUGUCAACGAAAGAAUUUCAAAUUUUUUUUACCGUUACAAUGUACGCGCCAACGAUAAAUUUUCUUUGGAUUUCUUGCAUUGAUCCACAGCUACCAAAAACCAACAGCUACAAGCCACGUGGCUUCUCCAGGAGCCUCCGAUCCAAAAAUCAUGUCAAAUCUAACGGCAGUCCAUUUUUUGGCUAAAAAUAUCAAAAAAUUAUGGAAACAUGUUCUAUAAAUUCCUACAAAUAUUAUUCACUUCCCACACCAAAUCUUCAUACAAAUUCAUAUCCUUUCAAUAUUUUUCACUUUCCAUACAAGAUUUUCUACUACUAAGUUUCGUUUGUGUAAAAAUACAAAUGACCUCUUCUAUCGAAGCCGGAGGCGCGUGUACAACCGUGGAAGAUAUUUUGUUGCGUGAGUGUUGGGUCAAAGUUGGUCAUUCCCUGAUCACGGGCAAUGAGAUGAAGUCCUCUCGUAGGAGUUUCUGACAUCGCAACGAAAGUAAGAUGUGAUAUGAAAAUGUAAGGAAUUUGAUGAGAGGAAUGGGAUUUGAGGAGUUUGAUGUAGGAAUUGAUGUAGGAAUUGAAUUUGGGAGGUAUGUAUAUAAGAUUUGAGGGUAUGUGUUUAGGGAUUUUGAUAAGAGGAUUUGAGGAAUUUAGAUUUGAAGGAUUUGGAUUUGGGGAAUUUAAAUAUGAGGAAUUUGAUUAGGGUUUGGGUUUGAAUAUGUGAAAUUUGAUAUGAGAGUUUAGAGACAACAGAUGAUCGAUUGCUCUGAUACCAUGCUAAAAUAUGAUAUGGUUUGAAUACUUUAGGUUGAGUUUUAUUCUUUUCCAUAAAAAGGUAUAUAUAGGAGUUUACAUGAGUGCUUUACAAAGAAAUAGAUACAAUAAUCAAUUAGGAUAAUAUCUCCUAAUUAUACAAUAAUUUGUCAACUAUAUAGAAUAGGAAAGUAAAUUCCUUAAUUAAUCAAGAAAAUAAAUCUCAUUGAUUAAUUAGGAGACUAACGUCAACAUUUAUAAGCCAUAAAAGAGCAGAAAAAGAGGUACUUAGGAGAUUUUAUACGUCGGACUAAGGUAAGCUUAAAGGACUAUAUCAAAAAAAUAAGGGACCAAGAAGCAAGACAGAGAAGUUGUUAUGCAAACCCAUUAAGUUUAGCAGUGAUGAAUUUGUAAAAAUCAUUCUAGUGGAUUCUGCCUUCACUAUUGAGUUCUUAUUGAGGUUCUAUCUGAAAGGAUCUGGACAUGAAGGAGACCGCUUAUUAAACAAACCGUGGAUGUUUACAGCCUGACAUGUGGUUGCUUGAAAAUCAGCUCCCAUUCUUUAUUCUUGAGGAUCUUUAUCACACAUACAUAAUAACCGACUCUUUUAGGAAUUAUUACAGUACUCAUGAUCAUGAGAGGCUUUCAAUAAUUAAUAUUUCUAAGAAUUUCUUCACAGCCGGAAUAUUGAAUUUGGAGGGGAAGGGAGACAAAUGGAACAGAAUAUCAUCUUCUUCUAGUGUUGGAAAUUUUAUAUUAUUUAAUAAUAUUUAAUUUCUAUUGUGAAUGAAAAAUAAGUUUCUUUAAGAAACGUGUGUCUUAGGCCAGUUUUUCUAACUGGUCGGCUUCCUUAGAUUUGUGCCUAUUGCUUUUCAAAGUAUAAUGAUGCAAUGGUUGUAUCUCGUUCAGGCAAAUGGAAGGUAUAUAGCAAUUUAUAGAACAAUACAGUAAUCCAGAAGAAAUAUUAUGAAAUGAAAAGAAUAAAAAGUAAAAAAAGAGAAAGAAAGGAAUUCCCACCUGCAAUGUAUAUGUAUGAAAGGAAGGACCAAGUUUGUUUUAAAAUGGUAAGAACAAGUUGAUUUUAAAUUGGGUUCAGAUCAACUCAUAGAUUUCUUGCCUUUUCUGUUCUCCUUCCUUGGACAUGAACUGUUUAAUCUUGGACUCUUCCCCAUCAUGUUGGGCCUGUCUUCUUCUUGAGGAUUGUAUAGGCCUAGGAAAUGCUUCGGGGUAGUUUUUGUGUUUUGGGCAUUGGGACCCAACUUCACAAAAAGAAAACAAAUUUGACCAAAACACAAAUUUGAAGGACAUUGAAAUUGUACCCGUAGGAUAGAUUAAAACACUAUAAGGGAGGUAAAUAGUACGUUUACAGAGUUUAAGUGUAAUAAAGGAAUAAAAACAUGCCCAGAGAAUUGAUAAGUGAUAUCAAUUCUUGAAUAUACGUGAAAAUUAUUUUAUGUGGUUAAACCCCACCUCUGGGGAAAAUCCACGGAACUUCUUAGUCCAACUUCUAUCACUUAUCCUAGACACAUUCUAGAUAAUGUUUGCCAACCUCUUCGUAACUCAACUUCUGUCACGAGAUGAUCUUUCAACACUUUAUGUCGAACGCAAUACUGGUCACGAUUUCUUCAAGCUCGCCGGAGUUCUUCCAAUUCUCCUUAUAUUGAAUCUGAUACUAGUCACGAUCGAUUCAAGCUCAUCGGAGAAAAAUCGCCACAACAAUCUUGGUGCCCUCAACCGUAUGAGUCACUGAACAUGCAAAUGAAUACAAUAUGAAUGAUAAAAGUGUUUGAUAAAUCACCAAGUUAUGGAACACUUGAUGAUUUAUCUCAAAUAAAAAUUCAGCUUUCCAAAGUUUAUGAAUUGAAAAUAUGACCGUUAAAGCUCUCUAAACAAAGAAGACGAAGGUCUUAUUUUAUAGACUUUUACUUUACAAGAAAGAAAACACGUUGAAAACCAAAUCUCCAAUUUCCAAGGCUUGACAGAAAAUCACAAAAUUAUCUUUCCUAUUCUAGAGAUUGGUCACAUGAAGUCCAACCAAUAGGAAAUGAGAUAUUUAAGAAAGGAAGAUUUUGAUCAAUAUCAAUAUCAAAUGAAUUCUUAUACGCCUAGUCAAUUGUUAUGGGUAUCUUGACUCCUUGAUAUUGUGAUAUGAUUGAAACAUGAUUUCCACGUUAGAAAAUUAAGGGGAUGUUAAAACAUGAAGGUAAUAGGAGAAUCAAAUUGAUUUGGGCCAAAAUUGCCUAAAAAGAAAACACUCCUUAAUAAACUUCAAUUUACUUUUAAAAAUAGUAAAACGUGAUUGAAUCGUUCUUUAAAACAAUUCCCUAAUAUACAUGCAUGAUAGUGAUAUCACUUACCUUUGAAUCAGAUGGCUUUCACGGGUCAAGCCACAAGUUUUUGUCUUGGGGAUUGCUGAGCUUCAUCAAUCCUGCCAAUGUCAAUUUUGCCCCUAAGCUCUCUCAAAGCACGUUUACAACCUAUGCUAACAUAUAUUAGAGUUUAUGUUAGUAUCAAGAAAAUGCCAACACUAAUUUCGUAACACGUAGAAAUUGUUAGAGAUUGAAGUUUUUAUCAUUUUUUCUUCCAGACUCUCCACCACUCACUAAUAUAGUUUACUCAUGUGAUGAGUUUACAAAACCUAUUUCUCUACUCUCACAAAGACUAUACUUAGGGGGGUGUAUUCAAUUAGGAUUCUAAAGCGUUUAAAAAGAUUUUGUUUAAGUGCCAGCUUUCAUAGAACUUGAUGGAACUUUAUAAUUCGUAUAGAACUUGAUAGACUUUCAGAAGACUUCUGUAUAAUUUUUUAAUAAAACUUUCUUAAGCUUUCAUAGAACUUGAUAGGCUUUCAUUCCAAACUUAUGUAGAUGGUAUAUUUCAUUUUAUCCCCAUCCUUGACAUUUAAAGAAAGAAACUUGAAUUUUUUCAAUCAAAUUUGUUUUUGUUACCAAAGCAGCAAAAACAAAAAGUACUUGUUUGCGAUGGAAGAACAUAUGCACAGUUCAAAAUGAAAAGAAUAAGAAGCAAAGUACCUAUUUGACCAAUGAAUGCUGUGUCAACUAGAGAAGCAAUUGGAUCGGCUGUCAAAGCCAAUGCUGCAGGCAAUGCAUCGAUGGUCCAAAUUGCAAUAAAAAAAUAUUUUGAAUAAUGGCUCUUGCAGACAAAGACCACAUAAAUUCUGAACUGGUCUAGCUUGAAUAAUAAGGUUAGAUUAGCCAAUUGAUGAGAUUAAAAGCAAAGCAAGUUGAUGAAUUUAUCAUCAACUAUUUAAUAACCACAGUCCUGAUCUCUUGGACCCCUGUAGUCCAAGAGAUUUAUGGUCACCCACCGUUGGAUGUAAAUUCAACGGUUGACUUGAAUCGGGUAAUAAUCAUUUAUGUCAUAUUGCAUUUAUAUAUAUCAUUUUGAACCAUUGGAUUAAUAUCCAACGGUGGGUGACCACAAUCUCUUGGACUCCUGUGGUCCAAGAGAUCGGGACUGUUAAUAACCAAUAGAGUAUUUAAACAUAAACAACAAUGUUUGAUCAACAAAACAAAUAGUCCAAAUAUCAUCCAAAAAACAAUAACAAAAAAUCAAUCAUUCCAAACAAACUAGUCAUUCUCAAAAACUCUCAAAAAACCCACUCAUUCCAAAUUGUAGGAUAUCCAAUUUGAGCACUCCUCAGGAGACAUUUUCAAAAAUGCAUCCUUUUUUGUGUUACUAUGCAACAAAGAGAGUGCUUUAUAACGAGCAUGUUCAUCCAAAUUUGGGGUCUCCUUAAUGGCAUCCCAUAUAUAACUCCGCUGCUCUCUCUCUUUUUCCCUUUUUGCCAAUAGGUUAUGGACCUCCCGGAAGUCGAUGACAAUUGAAUCAAUGCUAAGGCUAAUUCUUCCCAUAGCUUGCUGGGUGGUCACAUUUGAGAUAGCAUUCCCUUCCAAAUAUGUUCUAGUUCGUUUCCUCUAGUAACAAGCAUAAAUCCUAGUAACAAGCAUAAACCCUAACCCCAACCUAUAACCUAAUAACAAGAAGAAAACCCAACGAGGUAUUGAUCAAAGAAAAAUUAGGGAGCAUACCUUCACAGAUGGAGGAAGGAAGCUGUUCGUCUUCGCAGAGAGAAAAUCUAGGGAAAGAGAAAAACGUCUUAUGAAAUACUUGGGGGGGAGGUUGGAUUUAUUUUGGUCUUUUUUAUUUAUAACUCUCCCCUUAAAACCUACGUAAAUUUAUCACUUAAUGAAAUCCUUCCAAAUAUAUGACCUUUCGAAUACACCUAGAUUUGAUUCAACUUUUUUAUAAUCAUAAUUGAAUACACCCAUAUUUGAAUGGACUUUUUAAAAGUUCAUAUAGGUCCGAAAUGAAUAUACUCAAACUUGUAAAACCUCUUUUAAAGUUUGUAUAAAUCCAAAUUGAAUACACCUGGAUUUUUAAAAUCUUUUUAAACACUUUAUAAUCCUAAUUGAAUACACCCCCCUUAUUCUCAAAAGACUAUAUUACUUUACCUCUAUCUCUGUGAAAUGUAAAAAGUUGAAACUUUAAUGUCAAACCUCAACAAAAGAUGAACUUUCAUCAGUUACGUUGAAUUUGGAUUUGUUGAACUUAAGUGGUUUUAUUUUCUUUGUCAGUGUUUGAUGACUUAAUUUGGUAUUUAUUUCUUCUUUUUUUUCCUUGGAAAUGUGUUCCACCAACGUGAGGAAGAAAAAUAUGCACAAAUUAAUAUAUUUAAUAGAAGCCCAAGAUUUCGGAUGCAUAUAAUUUCUACAAAAAUCUACAAAGUUUUUUACUUUACAAACUUCUUAUGUCUACCAAUUUCUACUAAAAUUAAUUUCUCUGUGGUGCUCAAAUUCAUCAUAUGUGUGUCGUUAAUUUUAUUGAAAAUUGGAAGUUCCCAUCAUUUUUGUUUUUUGGGAAUUUUCUGAACCAAGGAAAAUCAAGUAAAAUUAAUAAAGCCUAAAUUGGAAAGGGAAAAUAUCUAGAGGAUGCAUUGUAGGAUUGCUCAUGCCAAUAAUUGUACCCUCUAAAUAUAUAGAGACAUAUUUUUUUUGUUUUCAUGACAUGUGGUCCUAAAAUUAUUGUGUAAAUCUUCAAUCCUGAACGAUGCACCUAAAACUCAUCCACCCAUUCUCAGGCCAAUUAUUGCACCUAGUGGGCUCUCGACCCCCUCUCAAAUUUAACCACAUAUUUUAUGGACCAUCCAGCUGUGAGGUACAUUCCCCCCACAUGCCACAAUUGUAUAUUCACAAUUACGUCUGAUACAUCACAUCAUGCCACUUGCCUCAAAUGAAUUUAAGUGAGUGAGGCAGUUGGAAGUAAUUAAGCUCUAUAUUGGUGGGUGGAGUGUUACUUCUCGGUUCCCCUCAUCAUUCGUCUAUAAAAUGGUGAAGGCAGUUGCUAUUGUUACCAUAAGAGCCAGCUCCGACUUCCUUUAAUUUCUUGCUUCAUAUCCACUAGCUACAUCUGUUACCAAGUUAAUUUCAGUUCUAAUGGGGUUUCAUCUCCCACUCAUCUUUGCUCUUCUCAGUGUAAGCUCUGCAAUUUGAUUAACUUUUCCAUUCUCUCUCAUUGUACUCUAUAUAAACGAAAGUUUUGUGUUCCUAUUGUUCUCUCCGAUUUUAUUUAGUACGUACUUAAGUGUCGUCCACUAAUUAAUUAUACUUUGUGAUUUGAUUUUAAUUUGAGUUUGAAUUAAUGUUGCAGCUAGCAGCAGUGGCACUGGCAAACCAUGCUGCUCAACCAGCACCUCAACUUUACUGGAGCUCCGUCCUGCCAAACACACAGAUGCCAAGAUCUAUCAGUGAACUUCUGCAUCCUGGUUUGUGUUGAGCUCUUUAGAAUCUUAGAUAUCUCUUCUACCUGCCAUUUUACUAAAAUAUGUUCCACCACAUAUUUAUCAGUUAACCAUUGUCAUUACAUGAGUGACACAUAUUCACAAAUCGGCUGAUCACUUAUUUUCCAUUAUGACUUGAUAUAUAAUUUGCAGACUCCACAAAUGAAGAAAAGAGCACAAAUGACGUUGGCAAACCUGAAACUUUCCCAUUGGGCAAUCAACAUUACUCCAGUCAAAAACAUUAUGGAGGCAUACCUGAAACUUCCCCAUUGGGCAAUAAACAUUACUCCAGUCAAAAACAUUAUGGAAGAGGCAAACCUGAAACUUUCCCAUUGGGCAAUCAGCAUUACUCCAGUCAAAGACAUUAUGGAAGAGGCAAACCUGAAACUUUCCCAUUGGGCAAUAAACAUUACUCCAGUCAAAAACAUUAUGGAAGAGGCAAACCUGAAACUUUCCCAUUGGGCAAUCAGCAUUACUCCAGUCAAAAAAAGUAUGGAAGAGGUGCUUCUCCAUCCGACAAUCAACAACUCCAUUAUAAAGACUUAGCUAUUUUCUUCUUGGAGAAGGACAUGCGCCCUGGCACAACAAUGAAGUUCCAAUUCC
rnacentral:lncRNA from 1 species